rnacentral:lncRNA from 1 species
GAAAAAAUGAGAUAGGUGGUCUGAAAUAUGGGUUUUUUGUCAAUAGCAAGGUGCAAGGUGCAACUACACCAUUGGAAGGCAAGAACAGUUGUAGCCGCACCCUUAAAGAGGAGUAAAAUCAUUUCUUCUAGAGGUGCAAGGUGCAGUUGCACCAUUGGAAAGCGAGAAUAGGUGCAGUCGCACCCUUAAGGAAGAGCAAAAUCAUUUCUUCUGGAGGUGCAAGGUGUAGUUGCACCAUUGGAAAGUAAGAACAAGUGCAGUCGCGCCCUUAAGGAAGAGCAAAAUCAUUUCUUAUGAAGGUGCAAGGUGCAGCAGCACCGUUGGAAAGCAAGAACAAGUGCAGUCGCACUGAUUACUACUCAAAAAGUGUUAUUUCAUAGCUUGUAAUUAACUCUUUUAAACACUUUUGAGUAGUAGUUAUUGUCUUUUAACCCAAUUAACAUGUUAAGGACCCUUGCAAUCAUUUCUAAUCAAAUUGUGUAAGUUUUGGUGUUUUUGUUAGUAAUUUGAUCACCAAAACUAUCCAAGAUUGAGGAGAGUUAUUUGGAAUCCAUGGCAAAGCAAUGAAGAGCUCAAAUUCAUGAAGAACCAAGCUUUGGAGCUCCAUAGCCCUUUGCCAAAGUCGUUCAAAGUAUGCAAGGAGAGAAGCAAGGAGAGAGGAAAAACAGAGUGAAGAAAACAGAGGACAGCAGCUGCAGUCUUCUUGCACACUUUUGGAGCACUUCCCGAAGUCCAUUUUCUACAUUCUAUAUACCAUUUCAAAUCUCAGGAAGUCAAGAAUCCAAUGCUUCAAACGGUGCGCAAUUCGGAGUUGAAACGAAGGAGUUACAGCCAUUGCAAGCAGAUCACUCCAAAGUGUUGCGAAAUCAGCCUUUUGUUGCGAGAAUUUCGCAGCCUUUUUGUACAGUGCUAUGGAAUUCCUCCUGAAGCUACCCGAUACAUGCCGCAAGCUGGAACUCUGAGAACCUCAAGGUGGAAGCCAAUUUCGCAGCCCUGCGAGUUUAACUUGUUGUUGCGAAAAUAUUUCGCAGCCCUCUUGAGUGUCUGCGAAAUCUCGCAGACACCAUUUUCACCUGCGAAAUGGUCCUUAGUGCUUCCCGAUAUUUGCCACCGACUCUUUUGGAUAUUUUUCUUCAGAUAUUUUUGUAUAAUUUCCAUUUUCUCCUUGUAUUCAACCACUCAUGUAAUUCCUUAGCUAGAAAGUAUCCAAGGAAGGGUAAAUUACCUUCCUAUAUAAACUUCCUUGCAUCCACUGUAAGAAGAUAUAUAUCAUAUAUGUAAUCCAUCGAUCAAUAUAUAGAAUAUACAGAGCCUUGCUCUAUUUUUCCUUCUCUUUCAUUUUCACUUUCUAGCCAACCAAACUCUGAGGAUUUUUCCACAGAGGAUGAGAGGCUAAGCUUUUUGUCUCUUGGAGUAAGGAAAGCCGGGUAAGUUUCCACAUACAUAAUUUGGAAGUUUUGUUGUUUUAGUUUUUAAUGAAGAGAAAGUGUGACCCGUUAGUGAUUUCUAUGUUUUUAGUUAACUUAAAACACCUUAGAGUCACCUGGGCCAACACUUGGUAAGGCAAGUGAUUUCCAACCAUGGAAAUGCACUAGUUUACCCCUUGCGAGCCUUUGGGAGGUGACUUGAAGGUAGGAUUUUCUGGAAUUGCCAACACUUGGUAAGCUUUUGGACUCCAAGGAGACAUCCAUUAGUUAUCUCUUGCGAGCUUGAGAAGGGAAGUCCAAGGUUAAAGAUCUCCUUGAAUGGUAAGUGCUCGUGAGAGGUAUGAGCCAUUGCAAGGUGCAUCAGUGAGAGGGAUUUAGUGUUUGAACCCAUUAAUGGGAAGCAUCUGUACAACACCGGUUAGAGAAUUAACUAUAUGUUAAUUCUCUAAUGCGAGGAAAAUAAACAAGUGACCGGAACUCUCCUUUUUGUAUGAGGAAUCUGAGCCUAGUGAUCUGAAACUCCAAGAAACACUUUUCUUUGUAAGUAAAAUCAGUUACUAUUUUUGGUUAGUUUAAAACCGAACUUUUUCCAUUUAAACAAGUUUAUGUUUUCUUUUAAAGCUAACCUUGAAAUGAAAAGGCACCAAUUCAGCUUUGAAUUAAUAUCAUUUGCAAAGUGAAAACCCAUCCCAGUGAACGAUCCUAGAGCCACUAUGCUAUAGUAGCUUUGUCUUUGCUACCCUAGUAUAUGGUGUAAUAGGUUAUAAAUUUUGUUGAUUACUCCCUCAAUCAAGGAGCACCAGCUGGACACGAAUCAGCUGAGACACCAAUUGGGCACGAAUCAAAUGGCGCCGUUGCCGGGGAUCAAACCUCGAAUCAAAUGGUGCCAUUGCCACUGCCGCUGCUAGGGACGAAUCACGCACCCUUAAGGAUGAGCAAAAUCAUUUCUUCUGGAGGUGCAAGGUGUUGGUCUAAGAUAAAAUCAUAUAUUUUUAUUCUAUAUCAAUUCAUUAGAGUACAGGUGUAUAUAUAGACAAAAGAAAAGGCUAUACAUGGACUACAUGGAUUACGGCUACAAUUGCUGAGGGAUUGCAGUGACUGAUUGCAGUGAUUGAUUUUUCUCCUUUAAUGGUUCAGAGAACAGCUCACGCCAACACUCCCCCUCAAGUUGGUACGUAAAUAUCAAUAAGUCCCAACUUGUCUAGUGAGUGAUGGAAUAUUUUACUGCUCACAGCUUUUGUAAGAAUAUCGGCCAAUUGGUCUUCGGAUUUCACAAAAGGGAAUUGGAUAAUCUUUGCAUCAAGAUUUUGUUUAAUAAAGUGUUGAUCUACUUCUAUAUGCUUAGUCCGAUCAUGCUGAAUGGGAUUAUGGGAGAUGUCAAUUGCUGCUUUAUUAUCACAAAACAACUUCAUCUUGGAGUCAGGGGCAAAACCAAUCUCUGUUAGAAGUCUCCUAAGCCACAAUAACUCACAUAGCCCUUUAGCCAUUCCACGAAACUCAGCUUCCGCACUGGAUAGAGCGACCACCUUGUGUUUUUUGCUUCUCCAAGUAACCAAGUUUCCUCCAACAAAAGUGAAGUAACCUGAGGUGGAUUUCCUAUCCAUGAUAUUCCCUGCCCAAUCUGCGUCUGUAUAUCCUUCUACUCUUAGGUGAUCAUUUUUUGAGAACAUAAGUCCCUUUCCAGGGGGACGACUUCAAAUAUCUCAAAAUCUGCAUAACGGCACUCAUAUGAUCUUCACUUGGAGAAUGCAUAAACUGGCUUACCACACUUACUGCAUAAGCAAUAUCCGGCUGUGUGUGAGAAAGAUAAAUAAGCUUGUCUACCAGUCUUUGAUACCUUCCUUUGUCUGCUGGUACUUGAUUGGGAUAUUGUCCAAGUUUGUGAUUCGGAAUUAUUGGAGUUUCUGUAGGCUUACAAUCAAGUAAUCCAACCUCUGUUAAUAGGUCUAAAAUAUAUUUUCUCUGAGAUAGGAAUAUACCUUGCUUUGAUCUAGCAACUUCAAUGCCCAGAAAGUAUUUUAGUCCUCCUAGGUUCUUCAUUUCAAACUCAAAUACCAACUGCUCUUGAAGUCUCGCUAUCUCCUCUUAAUCGUCUCCUGUGAUGAUCAUAUCGUCUACAUAGACUAUCAGAGCAGUCAGUUUGCCCUGUCUAUGCUUUAGGAACAAAGUGUGAUCAGAGUUACUUUGCUGGAAUCCAUACUUUUCCAUUAUCAUACUGAAUCUCCCAAACCAAGCUCGAGGUGAUUGUUUCAACCCGUAUAGAGUUCUUUGUAAUUUGCAAACAUUGUUGCCUUAUGUGUUGGCUACAUAUCCUGAGGGAAUGUCCAUAUAUAUAUCUUCUUCUAGAUCACCAUGUAAAAACGCAUUCUUUACAUCGAACUAAUGCAGGGGCCAAUCUAGAUUUGCUACAAGUGACAACAAUACUCUCACCAUAUUUAGUUUGGCAACGGGUGAGAAUGUUUCCUGAUAGUCAACUUCGUAUGUCUGCGUGAAUCCCUUUGCUACAAGUCUCGCCUUGUAACGCUCAAUUGUUCCAUCUACCUUGUAUUUGACAGAAAACACCCACUUGCACCCCACUGUUUUCUGUCCUUUAGGUAGAUUGACAAGAAUCCAGGUCUUAUUUUUCAAUAGUGCCUCCAUCUCCUCCUUCAUAGCCUGGACCCACCUCGAGUCUUUCAUUGCUUCUUCAACGCUUGUAGGAACCUGACACGAGGAGAGUGCAUCUACGAAAGUCUUUAGAGGUUCAGGAAGCGUCUUUGUGGAUACAUAGUUGGCAAUUGGGUAUUUCAACCUCCGGUCUUCUAUGUUAGGAGAGUAUCUAUCUGGUGGUUUGCCUCGAUUAUGCCUGUAUGGUAACUCAUAGCCCACAUGAGCAUCAUUAGUUAACACAGGUGUACUCAGAGUGUUCAGGGAACUUACCUCAGGAAUAUUCUCAGGAGAUGGGUCUUUGGAUACUGUGGCAUGAGGGGGUACUAUCGACUGCUGUGGCUGUUGCUCUUCAAUUACUAAUGGUAGAACACCAAGUUCUGUGUCAACAUCAGGUUCUGUAUUGGAUACAGAAACAACAGGCUCAACAUCAAGUUCUGUAUUGGAUACAAAAAUAAUAGGCUCCUAAUCAAACCUCAGCCAAUUCAACUCUUUAUUUUGAGGCGCCCCCUGAAGAGUAGAAGUGGAUGUGGUCAGAGAGUAGAAAGUCUCUGAUUCCAAGAAAGUGACAUCCAUCGUCACAUAGGUGCAAUGAUUAGAUGGAUCAUAACAGCGAUAUCCCUUUUGAUGUAGGGCACACCCCAAAAAAAGACACCGGACUGCGCAGGGAUUGAGUUUAGUGCGUUGAUUCUUGUGUAAAUGAACGAAGGCAACACAGCCAAAAACUCGAGGCGGAAGCAUUAAGGCAGUAGGUAGAGAGAUGACAGUGGAUAGAGCCUGGAGAGGAGUCUUGAACUUAAGAACCUUAUAAAGCAUCCGAUUAAUAAGGUGAACUGAUGUAGUGACAGCAUCAGUCCAAAAAUGAUUAGGUACAUGAGCACCAAGAAGAAUAGCCCGAGAAGUCUCUAAAAUAUGCCGAUUUUUCUUUUCGGCAAUUCCGUUUUGUUGUGGUGUUUGAGGACAGUUAGUUUCAUGAAUCAAGCCAUGGUGACUGAAAUAAUUUUUAAAGUCACGAUGCAUAUACUCUCCACCGUUAUCGAAUCGAAGUAUGCGAAUUGUAGCAGAAUACUGAGUUUUAACCAUCUCAUGAAAUGAGCAAAAAAUAGAGAAAACUUCAUCCUUAUUCUUCAUUAGAUACAACCAUGUCAUACGAGUGCAAUCAUCCACAAAAAUCACAAACCAUCGAACCCCAUGUAGACCCUCAAUUUUGUCCCUUUAGCACAUGUCUUUAAAAUUCAUUUUCAGUGCUCCACGGUAGUUCCUGGUGGCCCAUUACUACUCAUACGGCUUACCUUUUUCUGAGUCACCUCGGAGACUUUGGUUGAGGAAUUAUUUAACCCCUUAUUGUGACUCUUGGCAGCCCUAAUUUAGACUUAGACUUUUCAUUCCUUUUUAGGAUAGCUUUUAGAUACACUUGGCCUUUAGGCACCGCUCUAGGCCCACUUAGGCACACUUGGCCCAUUAGGCACUUUUAGACUCACUUUUUGUAUGACUUACACGGUUGCAUAACUUGUGGGGCCCAAUUUUUGUUAAUUUGUUUAUUUUUAUUUCUUAGUUUUAGUUUUAUGAUUAUCGAUCACUCUUAUUUUUAUUUGUUUUCUUCCUCUUUAUAUUAUUUUUCUUAACUUGAUUAUUCAUUAUAUUUUUUUAUUGUCCUCUAGUUUGUUUACUUAUUUAGUUACUCAUUCAAUUAUUUACUUUCAAAAAUUUCAUGCUUUUGCAAGGAAACUUACCAUUGGAGUUUAAAGAAAGUGGGACUCUCCUUGAAAGGUUUUGGAGGGGAAUUCGAAAUUGGGAAGAUUGCUUUUGAAGGAGAAGGCUAGAAAAAUAAGGAAACAAAAUAUUCUGCAAGAAGGGGCUGCCAUAAAAAAAAAAGAGGGGGGAGGAUUUUUUUUUUAGGGAGAAUUCAAGGAGGACACACAUUGGAGAAAGGAGAGGGAGAAAGGAGUAUUCUUUUGGGGGAUUCCGGGAUUGUCUUGAGGAGAAGCACAGAGGGAAGGACUGGCAGCACGCAUCCUCAUCUCAUUUGAAGCCGAGCAAUUCUUCUCAAAGAUUGGUUCUUCCAGGUAUGGUCAUGUGAAAUUUGCAUUCUCUCAUCUCUAUAUGAUCCUAAAUAUUAUUCUGCAAGUCCCAGUGUUAUCUUAUUGAUUGUUGUGGAGAUUUGGGACUGAUCUUUCUUUUGCUGAAUAUAUUUAAGCAUGAGUAUGCUCUGUUUUGGCUUCUAUUUUUAGUCUUUUUAAUUUCUAUUAUUAAUGGCUGAUGAAGGGGAUUGUCAUUGAUAUUGAUAUCCAAGAAUCGUUCUCUUAUUCUUUGAUAUCCCCACCUGUUUUUUUUUUAAGCCCAUUGACAAAACAAUGGAAUGUGACUUGGCAUUUUUUAUCUUUUCUCAUCUCUACUCUGUUUUCUGGAGUUCUUUUUCUUUUCCUUGUAUUCGUUUCUUCUUUUUCUUCCAAGCGUUAAUUUUUUAGAUUCUUGGAAUGAGAGACUCUAGAUUGUCUAAAUUGGAAUGUCAAGAUGCAGUGUUGAUAUCUUAACAAGGUUUGCUGGGUCCAAUUGUGUGGUAGAGUGCCUACCAAUUUAUGGAUACAGAUCGUGAUACUUGGAUGUCAGUGUGAAGUUGUGAUCAGGGUGAAAAUGUUAAAGUCAGAGCUUAGAAGAAGGUCAUCGACUGCUGGGACUGAUAUAGAAUGCAAUUGGAAUGCCAACAUUGAGAUCGCUGAAAGAAAGAAUGGGAAACAACAAGAUUUGGAGAAGAACAAGGAGAGGAGUGAGGUUCCUCAAGAUGCUCUGUUAUGCAACAGAAUUGAUAGCAAGAAAGGUUCGCGUAAAGAUAUUGAACCUGCCCAGAAUUUGAUAGAACGGCACCUACGGCUGUACAUGAACAGGGAUGAAGUGGUGAGAGCUAAUCGGGAACUUUAUUGAGGAAAAAUUCUUUGGACAACUUAAGAUGGAAACAGAUCUAUAGCUAAGGGAAGGACUAUUGAGCAACAAAUUCUUGAGUCCAAUCUAGUUCUAGAAGCAUUCGGUGAUGCAAAGACUGUCAGAGACAAUAAUUCAAGUCGGUUUGGUAAGUUUGUGGAGAUUCAAUUUGAUCAGAGGAGAAGGAUUUCAAGAGCAACUAUCAGGACUUAUUUGACGAAAAGAUCCUAUGUUUGUCAAGUGCCUAAUCCUGAGAAAUUAUCAUUGCUUCUACAUGCUUUGUGAUGCAUCAGCAGAGAAUGUUCAAAGGUCCAGAUUGGGAAAUGUAGGAAGUUUCCAUUAUCUAAAUCAAUCCAAUCGCUAUGAGUUGGAAGGUUGACAACAACUAAAGACCUUUGCCAUCUCAUUUUUCCCUCACUAAAAUCUGAACCUAAGGCAUACAUGCAUGCUGUCACCAUGGCUCCCGGUCACUCACAUCUAGAAGAUAAGAACAUAAGGAAAAUUCUUGUGGUAAAUGAGCAAACAAACCUGGUUUUAUGCAGUUCAUUGAUGAUUCACAUGAAAGUAUUUGAUUCAAGACACCAUCUUGUAGAACUGAAAGCGAUGUUAAGGAGAGAACUGAAGGUUUGGUAUUCUGAUUUGUGCUUGGAGGGGAAUAGGAUUUCUGCUGGAGGUAGUGGAAGCCUUUCUGAUAAUUCUUCCAGAGAUUCUAUUGCAAAUGAAACCAGUGCAGCAUUUAGAACUGACAAACCAGCUUUGGAGCAAAGAGAUAAAAAGUACUCUUUAAAUAAUAAUGGUCCAGAAGUGGAGAUUAGUCGCUGUUGUGUAGUCCUUUAGUCUUCACUAAGACCAUUAGCCGGCAAAGUUCACCAGAUUUUGAGGCAAUUCAAGAUUAACUUACUUGAUAUGGAUGCUGCACUCCCUGAGGAGGCUCUAAGGCCAUUAAGGCCUGACUUAGAAAAGAAAUUGGCAUGGCGCACUUUUGUUAAAUCCGCAGAGACUAUCUUUGAGAUGGUUCAAGCAACAAUCAUGCUCGAGGACAUGAUUAAGAUUGAAUAUUUGAUGAACGGAUGGUGGUAUUGGUCAUCACUCUCUGCUGCUGCCAAGACUUCUGUUGUUUCUUCCCUUGCCCUCUGCAUAUACUCUCUGGAUGCUGCCAUUGCUUAUGAGAAGAUCUCAUUUAAUUUGGAUGACUAGCAGUCCCUCGCUCAACCAGCAACGACAAUACAUCCUACUCAGCAGAUGCCACAUACAGAACAGCCAGUUCCUCCACAAGUUAGCCAUCCUUCUGAACCUACAUGUGGACAACCCUAUGGCUAUCCCUCUUCUGGUCAAGUUCAAGAUUAACUUGCUGUUGGUUCUCUUCUUCACAUGUAUGACCCCUUCGGUGCUUCUCCAUUACUCCCUCGAACAAAGUAGACAGAUGAGAUGAGGUUAUGAAGAUUAUUCAGCAUGUCUAGAAACUCAUGAGAAGUAAGUGUGGGUUCAGAAGUCAAAUUUAGAAGCAGCAGAUGAUAAUGAUAAGAGAAUAGACCUAGCAAGGAGUCACCUGCCAAGCCAAGAUGGAAUUCUUCUCUAGAUUCACACAGGGUGGAUGGCAACCCUGACGAGGGGAAAAUGAAUUAAGGAAAGAAGGCACUGAUUCUUUCUUUUCAUUUCAAUGCAACUGAAUCCCCGGAAAGAGUAAGAACUAGAAGUCCUUCAGCAAUAGAGUCCAGAAAGCAUUCAGGGGAUUCUCUUCCUUAGAUCAUUGAACUCAAGGAGAAAACUACAAGUUAUGAUUUUUUUUGUAUUCAGACCAAAGAAAUAAGGAAAAACCCCAAGGAAAGGAAAACUCAAUAAUCUCAACAGCGCAUCUUAUUGGUGAUAGAGUUUCCCAAGUUCAAUCUCUUAGUAAUCUGGCAGUAAACAAUCUUGUAAGUUUCUUAAACAUAGAUCAUGAGCAACUAGAUUCAAAUGAGCCAUUGUCUGAAGAAGAGGAUGAUGAUGAGUAGCAAAAUAUGGCUUAAAAAUGGGCACAUCAUGUUUAUUUCUAAGAAGAUGUCUGGAUUUGGUAGAAAGGAACUCACCCCUCAAAUCAGAAAAUAGUUUCUUCUAGUUUAGACAUUCAUAGCUUUUUUGCUCACCAAACCAGGGACAAUUCAAUGAACAUCUAAAAUAAUUUCUGCAAAGUCUGCCCAGCCUAAGGAAACUCGCUUUCAUCAACUUAUGAGCAUAAAAGUGGUAUCUAAAGACCUUGAUAUACUUCUCAUGCAUCCAAUUAACAGUCCAGAAGUUCAGAUUGGCAGUUGACGUUUGAUAUCAUGGAUCUUAACUAGACAAAGGUGUUGGGUUACACUAUGGAGCACACUGUAUUAGUCUCUAGCCAGAGCUAAAACAGAAUGUAAGCCACAACAUACAGCCUGUAGAUAUCAGAAUGAAGAUGCAACCAGAACAAGGUCAUUGAUGUAUAUGGAGUAAUGAAGAAUUAGAGCUUGCCAUUGUCAGUAACUCUAAUGUUGCUGCCGAUUCUGAAUCCAAGUUGCAAAAUUCAUAUUUGAGGGUCAACAUAAUUUUAUUCAGUUCAACAGAACACACCAGCAAGACAGUCUCAAAUCUCAUUCACAAGCUCCACUCCAUCAUAGCAACCUUGCUACAAGCAUCUUCUCCCCUACUUGCCUCUUUGAUUGGGAAUUUACUGUUUUAAAUUGAAUUUCAAAACCAUUGUUCAACUAAUCAUUCUCAACUUUGAAAAAUUCAUCUUUAGACCUUCUCUAAGCAAUAAAAUCCAGAUUUUAACACCCUUUUGCUGCCAUUUUCCUUCCGGCACGCAUUUUCACUAUUUUAUUUGAUUUUCAACUGAUUUUCUCGAUUUUUUCUAAGCAUGAAUAAAUUUUAUGAUUCCAAACAAUGGAAUUCAUAGAACAAACUCAUGCGAAAUUAAUUAGGGCUUUGGUGGGGGCCCGACAUUUAUGAUACUCUCUUCAAUAUUGUUUGCUUGAUAUGUUGAUUUUUUAUUCUCCUUGAUGACAUACAUGAAUUCGUUUUAUAUUUAUUGUUGAGAUACCCUUGUUCCCAUAGACGUGUGGAUGCUCGCUAAUCAGGUACGCUCUUUCUACCCUUUCAACUCUAAAAUUCUAUGAAUAUGUAUGUUAUCAUGAACCAUGACCAUGUUUGAUGCCAUAAUUGAUUGUCUUGAUGCUUGUUUGAUCAUCUUUGAUAAAAUACAUAUAAUGUGUCACAUUUCCAAACUAAUCUCUUAUGUUUCAUGAUAGCGCUCGAGGAGCCGUUCAGGUACGCACUUCGACUCUCUCUUAUGGUUGGUUUUCUUGUUAGGCAUGCAAUAUUUGAAAUCACCUAGCCUACUUAGGUACCUAUAAUUAACUGAUUAAUGGCUACACUUCCCUUAACUUUGUCAGUAGAAACCUUUAUAGGGCUUAAAGGGGUGCUACCUCCUAGAGGUACCUUCCCAAUAAGUAACCUGAUCCCCGGACCAAGACUUGGGUUUUCAAAGACAUGCUUUUCCAGAAAUUAUGGAGUCACUUUUUUUUUUUAGGGUUUUUCUUUCUUGUUUUAUUUUCCCUUUAAAAUAAAAAUAAAAUAAGUGGCGACUCCGACUUUUCUAAAAAUUAAUUUUUCACAAAUAAAAAGCGAGUCUCGCCGAUCGAGUGGGGACGCACGUGAAAAAUGCGGGUCCACACCCCAGAUAUAGUGGAUUUGGGAGAUAGACCCCACAUAUCAGAGUGAAUCAAUUCAAAAGGCAUCUGACUCUUAUUAAAACUCAAAGGAUAACUAACACGAUGACUUUUAGCUAAGAUGCAUGUCUCGCAUUUAAAAUCCAAAUUCGACAAACCCGAAAAUAAAGUAGGAAAUACAAGUUUCAAAUAUCCAAAUGAAGGAUGUCCUAAUCGACGAUGCCACAACAAAAUGUUUGUCUUAUUUCGAUCACUAGAGCUUCUCGUAUGGUUAGCUCAACCGAUGCCAAAAUCUUCCAUAUAGUAGAGCCCCCUCUUUUUAGUACCACGCCCAAUUAUCUCCUUAGUGAGAAUAUCCUGAAGAAGACAAAAGGUUGGAUAAAUUAGAACAAUACAAUUUAACUCCUUCGUGACUUGGCUCACUGACAAUAAUUUAUGAGACAAUGAGGGUACAAAAAGGGUAUUGGUUAAGGAGAGAGUUGGUGAUAUCAUCACUGUACCAGCCCCUUUUACCAAAGAGAUGUCCCCAUUAGCAUUAGCAAUGCUAGUAUGCCGCGGAGAGGAUCGUUCAGAAAAAUCACUUGCAUCAUACGUCAUGUGGUCUGUUGCCCCUGAAUCAAGAAUCCAACCAUCAUAUGAUUCAGUGGUAUUGGUCCCAAGAAAACUCAUACCUGUAUCCAAAUCAACUAUUGUUGUCGGAAUAAGUGACAAUUGGGACUCAGCCGAGGCUAUCGCGGCUUUGCCCGUCCCAUUAGCUGCAUUUUUGCUGGCUCCACCAUCAUUCCCAUUCCCAUCUCGUCGCCUCUUGGCUUAUAAUUCAUGCCACCAAUCUGGGUAGCCAUGUAGUUUGAAGCAUGUGUCUCGAGUAUGCUUCGAAUUUCCAUAAUGAGAGCAUUUCAUGUCAUUGGAUGGGUCAUUUGACUUAGAAACUGAGUUGAAUUUUCCAUUCAAUGACAGAGAGUUGGCUGCAGUGGAGGGCCCUUGUUUGAGGCUUCGUGAAGCCAACACUGCUCCAACCGCCUCUUCUCCAUUAUUGGCUAUCAUCACCACCUCACGCACAGCUUCUCUACGAACAUGGGCAUAUGCUUGUUCCACUGUGGGAAAUGGCUUAAGAUGCAACACAUCACUUCUAAUAUUAUCAAGUUUAUCAUCCAAACCAUCAAGAAAAGUAUAUACCCGAUCCUUCUGCAGCAUAUUGUUAAAAUAUUAGAUAUCUGUUGGACAUUGCAUUGGAUUGGGACGACGGAAAUCAAUCUCCUGUCAUAGACCUUGGAGAUCAUUGUAGUAUUUUUCCAGAGAGCCACUACCCUACCUGAGUCACGCCACUCGCCGCCGAAGUUCAUAAACUUGGGUUGCAUCACUUCCAUCGAAGUAAGUGGUUGCAAUUGCAUCCCAAACUUGCUUUGUCGUUGGAAACCGAAUGAAGUUGCCAAUAAGGGAUGGAUCCAUCGAACCAAUCAGCCAUCCUUUCACAGUUGCAUUCUCAGUCCGCCACCUACGGAAGAAAGGGUCAGUUGUUAAUGGUUGAGGAAGGUCGCCGUUGAUGUAGCCGAGUUUAUCCUUGCCUGCGACAUACAUCUCUAAGACUUGUGACCAGAGGGCAUAAUUCGUGCCAUCCAAUUUAAUGCCAAUCGGGGCAAUUUCUAAGUCGGUGACUAGAAUGGACGUCGGAGCUUUACUCAAAGCUUCUGUCAUCCUUGCUGUUAGUUCAGACAGUACAGAUGGCGGGAUUGAAGAUUCACCCGAGUGCUCACCCGAGUGAAGAUCUGUAUCUGCCAUGUGAAAAGAGUUUGGGCUCUGUUUUUAAGAAAUUUGGUUGAACGGAGGGUAGAGGAUCGAAUUCUGCUCUGAUACCAUGUUGGUCUGAGAUAAAAUCAUAUAUUUUUAUUCUAUAUCAAUUCAUUAGAGUACAGGUGUAUAUAUAGACAAAAGAAAAGGCUAUACAUGGCCUACAUGGAUUACGACUACAAUUGCUGAGGGAUUGUAGUGACUGAUUGCAGUGAUUGAUUUUUCUCCUUUAAUGGUUCAGAGAACAGCUCACGCCAACACAAGGUGCAACCGCACCCUUGAGGGAAUUUCCUGAACAGCUGCACCAUUGAAAAACGAGAAGAACCAGCUACACACAUCCAAAUUUGUUCCAAUAGCAUCACAUUCGGCUAGCACCAAACACAAUAGCCGGUGUUCAUUUGCUUGCUCUUCACCGCAUCAGUCGCACACAUUCGGAUUAUUUCGAUAGCAUCAUAGUUCACUCACUUCUUUGAUCUCCACAGGAAGCACAUUCAGCACCAAACAUGGCUGCCACUUUGGGAAGCCUACUGCCUGCACACCAAUCUAGUUGGGUAAGCUAUUCUUUCCUUAUAUCUUUAUUUAGUCAAUACAAUAUGAUAAAUGCUCUUUAUGAAUUUACUGUUAUGCCUUAAUAAGUCAUUGUUAAAUUUGAGAUAUAUUUAUUUAUAUGCUAUCUAUUUAUCCAUUUAUUAACAAGAUUUAUUUUAUAGGUUAGAGACAUAGUUUUAAAAUUUGUUUUGGAUAGUUUUCAAUUUAAUUUUAGGUUUAAGUGAAACUUUAGUUCGUUAAAAUAAUAGAUCUUUAUGUUAAACAUUUGAUUUUUAUAUUUGCCUUAAUUAGUGUUCAAAAACAUUUUUAAGUUUAGAUUUUAUUUUAGUAAUGUAAGUUUAUUUUAAAAAAGAAAAAAAUUGAUCCCAUGAGUUCAUAUUUCAUUUUAAUCAUACCUGUUUAUUUAUGUGUUAUCUAUUUAUCCAUUUGUUAAUGAAAUAGAUUUUAUGAGUUAGAAAUUUAGUUUUAAAAUAUGUUUUGUAUAGUUUUCAAUUUAAUUUUAGGUUUAAGUAAAAUUAUAAUUUGUUAAAACAAUUGAUCUUAUGCGUUAAAUAUUUGAUUUUUUAGAUUUGCCUUAAUUAAUGUUUAAUUCAUUUGGUUCUUAGAUUUCAUUUUAAUAAUGUAAAUUUAUUUAGAAAGUUGAUUCCGUGAAUUCAUAUUUUGUUUUUAGUUUGCUUUCAUUUAAUUUGAUUCAUUUUAAUUAUUUUAGGUGUUUUUAUAAUUUUAAGUUAUUAAUAAAAUCAAUUAUAUAUUUGAAGGUGCCUGUCUUUAGUUUACUCUGAUUUAGCUUCACUCAUCUAUUCAGUUUAGGUAUUUUCUAUAAUAUUAGUUCAUUAAUAAAAUUAAUUUUAUGAUUGAAAAUUAUUGUUUGCCUUGAUUUGAUUUGGUCAGUUUAAUUAGUCUGGAUGUGUUUGUGGGUUUAAUUAAUCACAUGUUAAUCCUUGAUUGUUACUCUUAAUUGAUUCGUUUCUUGAAAAUGAGUCAUUAAUUCUGGGUGAGUAUCUCGUUAGCUUAUUUAAUCUGAGUUUGAAUGGUUUAUUAUUUUGGUGGUCUUUGAUAAUUGUUACUCUUAAUUGAUAUGUUUCUCAAAAAUUAGUCAUUAAUUCUUGGUAAUAAAUUGAGAGUUAGAUUUUUUGAAAUAUUAGUUUGUAAUUUUUUAUGAUAGAUUAAAAGUCAAAACUUUUCUAAAGUUAUUUUAUGAUUCUUAAUGAUAGUUUAAAAGAUAGAAACUUUUUUUUUUAGAAACUUGUUUCCCAUAGCUCUUAGUGCUAGAUUGAAAGUUAAACUUUUUAAAUGUUAGCUUGUAACUCUUGAUGAUAAAUUGAAAGUUAGAUUUGUUAAAAUGUUAGUUUGCUUGAUCUAAAAAUCUCUGGUUAGUUGCUAUAAUGAUUCUAUCUUUAAUUUAAUUUUCAGAGGUCAUUGAAAAAUAAUGAUGAUUGGUCCUCGUCUCACAACUUUAGUUUGCUCAGUUGUAAAAAAAUUUUACUUGGCGAUUUUGUUUUCUUUUAUUUUGCCUAGUAUUUUGUCUCAUACAUUUUGUUGUUUUUUUUCAAAUUAAUUUCUUUUAUUUUCAAAUAAAAUACUUUUCUCAAAAGACCCCUUUAAAAUUUCUAUUUUAAAAAUAAUUCAUUUAGAGUCCUUAUAAUCAAAAUCUCAUUUUCUUAAAUAAUACACAACCAUGUUUUCAUCGGUUCGCAUCUGCCCUAGUUUUCAAUAAAAAAUCUAGUUUUAAGUAGAAUACGAAUCCAAACUUGUGAUCCUAAAUAAAUGGGAUAAUUCAAGGCUAGAUUAGUGUAUAUCAAUUGGGGAAUUGGUGAAACCCUACAUAAGAAAAUCUUUUUAAAACUUACUUUUGCUACCACCUUUGCUACUUAUUGAAAUCAUGUUUAUCUAUUUUUUUAGGAAUUAUAUACCCGAUAUAAGUGAUAAUUGAGGAUUUCGUACACUUUGAUCAUUUUUGCUAUGGUAAUUAAAUAACAAGCAUGCUAGGAUUUCUGUAUUUUAUUAUUUAUUAUUUAACCCCUCAUGUCUCGCGGAAGCAUGUUACGAGUUAUCUAUGAUAUCUAGGUAUGCCCUCUAUCACCUACCUUCUAAAUUCUGUAAAUAUGCUUGUCACUAUGAACUGCACCUAUAUUUGAUAGUGCUUGGGUAUCUUUAUAUAUGUUUCAUUGUUUGAUUAUUUCUAAAUAAAACGCAUUCUGAAUGAUGUACUAUUUGAACUAACUUUGAUGUCUUGUGAUAGCACUUGAGAAGUAGUCCAAGUACGCACCCUAAAUCUUCUUCAUGAUUGUGAUUGGUUUUUUUGUUAGGCUUGUUAUUUUUUGAAAUCACCUAGCCUACCUAGGUACCCUCAGUCAACCAAUUAAUUGCCACUAUUCCCUCAAUUUAGUCAAUAGAGACCUCUUUAGGGCUUAGAGGAGUGCUACCUCUUAGAGAUACCUUCCCAAUAGGUAACCCGAUCCCUGAACCUAGACUCGGGUUUUUAAAGACACAUUUUUCCAAAACUAUAGAGUCACUUCAUUAGUGUUUUCUUUCUUAUUUUAUUUUUCCUAUUAAAAAUAAAUAAAAUAAGUGGCGAUUCCAACUUUUUCCAAAAAUAAUAAUUUUUCACGAAAAAUAAAAGAGAGUAUCAUCGAUCGAAUGAGGACGCAUGUGAAAAAUGCAUGUCCACAAAGAUAUUAUAGGGAUAACCUGGAUAUUCAAAUAGGUUUUCAUCCUUAUUGAAAAUCUGAUUUUUAUUGUUAAUUGAUAUCCAAAUAUUAACAAUAUAUGUUGAAAUAUGUUAGGGAUAAUAAUAAUCACUACCAGAAUGACCAACCUAACAAACUUAAUAAUAAUCCCAACAAAUCAAUAAUUGGUUAUAGGUAUAAUCAACACAAGAUAACCAAUUCAACACACUCAAUAACCAAUUAACCAAUCAAUCCAAUACAUUCAAUAUCUUCAAUUGGAAUAUAAGCAAGAAUAAAUAUAAACCUUUUAGAAUAGCCCUACAAGAUAUUAGGUUAAAACAAAGUAACCUAUUCUAGGCAAUUCAAAUGUAAUAUCAAAUAGAUAUGCAAUGAGGUACAAGAUUUUUUACGUGGAAAGCCCCCACAAACUGUGGAGAUAAAAAAACCACGAGGGCUAAGACCUAUCAAUCGAAAUCCACUAUUUGAAAUCAAGUCACACAGAUUUACCUGGCUGCUUUACCCUAACGACUUACUCUCCAAUACUUACAACUUGAUCCAUGUCCGCAACGCAACAACUACUUGUUGCUCCCUAGUAUAUCCUUCGGUAUCUCUAAAGGGAUUAUAGUCUUCAACUAACAAUUCAAAGAAUCAAAUCCUUCAAUGAGAGAAUGGGAAUGAUGUGGCAAUAAGGCUUUUCUCACAAAGAGUCCCUCUAAAGAAUAAGAGGUUUCUCAACAAUCUCCAAGAUCUCUAUGAUCCCUUUAAUCUUUGAUCUCUUAGCCCAAAUCUCUAACCCUCAAAUGGUUACAAGAGAAGUAUAUAUAAGCAAAAGCCAAAGAUUCCUAGUAUCUUAAGUUUCCAAAUUAGAGUUUGAGUGAAAUUCAUUCAAAAUAUGUUUCUACACUCGGUAGAACUAUCAUGGUAGGAUUAACUGCCUGAGCGGUCCCUACUUUUUGAAAAAUCAUUUUAAUCCUUUUAGCCUUAUGUGCCAAUUCAUCAUAAGUUAUAUCAUAUGGCAUUUCAAUGUCUUUUUCCUCAUUCUCAGAAGCCUUAAAGGCAGAGUCUUUAGGCUUAACGGAAUUAGGUAGGGUCAUUUCAUAUGUUUAAAUGGAGCCUACAAGUUCAUCAACUCUCAUGGAAUCAAUGUCCUUGCUCUCCUCUAUGGCAAUUACUUUGGGUCUAAAUCUCUCUAGAAAAGAUCUCAAUAUUUUUCUAACUAUCUUAGAAUAUGAAAUAGUUUCUCCAAUGUUAAAUGAGGAAUUUACAAUAUCACUCAUUUCAUAAUAAAAGGAAGAAAAAUUUUACUUAGAAGUAAGCAUUUGUAAUUUAGAAAUAUUAACAGAGAAUGUACCUUCAUGAGUGACUUGAAGAAUAUCUCAUGCUUCCUUUGCACAUUUUCAAUUUUCUAUCUUGUGAAACUCAUCUGGACAAACUCCAUUAAAAAUAUUAAAUAAUGCCCUAACUAGCAUUGGCUUCACUACCUUCAUUAUCAGCUUUGUCCAUUCAUGUUAAGGUUUAAGUUCUCCUAUCAAUCUUAUCAAAGAUCAAUGGUUGUCCCCAACCAUAUUCAAUUGAAUUCCAUACCCUUUCGCCUUGCAUUCAAAAGAAAAACACCAUUCAUGUUUUCCAAUGGGAAUAAUUAUUCCCAUGCAAAUAGGGUGGGGUGGACUAUUCAAAGGAGCACCACUUUUACAUUUUUCCAUAUCAGACUUACAAGAUCAAUAAAAAUUUGAUUUUUAUCCUAUAUGACUAACAAAAAUUUGAUUUUUAAAUAAUAUAACCAAUAAAAAUUGGAUUUUUAAUCAAUAGCAUAAUGAAUUAGUUUUUUAUCCCACUUUGAAACCAAUUGAAAAAUGGGUAUUGCAUCAAUAACACUUGAAUAAUAACUAAAAGUCCAAUCGAGAACACCUAGAGUGGGAGUGAAUGGGGUGAUUUUAAAAUUGUAAAACAAUAUUUGUUAAUUAUAAUAAACUUUUCUUAUCCCAAGAUGUUAUAGGGAUAACCUGGAUAUUCAAAUAGGUUUUCACCUUGAUUAAAAAUCUUAUUUUUAUUGUUAAUUGAUAUCCAAAGAUUAACAAUAUAUGUUGAAAUAUGUUAAGGAUAAUAAUAAUUACUACCAGAAUGACCAGCCUAACAAAUUCAACAAUGAUCCCAACAAAUCAAUAAUUGAUUAUAGGUAUAAUCACCACAAGAUAACCAAUUCAAUAAACUCAAUAACUAAUUAACCAAUCAAUAUAAUAUAUUCAACAUCUUCAACCAAAAUAUAUGAAAGAAUAAAUAUAAACCUUUUAGAAUAGCCCUACAAGAUAGUAGCUUAAAACAAAUUAACUUAUUCUAGGCAAUUCAAAUGUAAUAUCAAAUUGAUAUGAAAUGAGGCACAAGAUUUUUUACAUGGAAACCCUCAUAAACUAUGGAGAUAACACAACCACAAGGUCUAAGACCUAUUAAAUGAAAUCCACUAUUCAAAAUCAAGUCACACAGAUUUACGUAGUCGUUUUAUCCUAAAGGGUUACUCUCUAGUGCUUACAACUUAAUCCAUGUUUGCGACGCAGCAACAACCUAUUGCUCCCUAAUAAAUCCUUCAAUCCCUCCGAAGGGAUUAUGGUCUUCAACCAACAAUUCAAAGAAUCAAAUCCUUGAAUGAGAGAACGGGAAUGGUGUGGCAAUAAGGCUUUUCUCACCAUAAGUCCCUCUAAAGAAUAAGAGGUCUCUUAGCAAUCUCCAACAUCUCUAUGAUCUUUCUAACCUUCGAUCUCUUAGCAUGAAUCUCUAAUCCUCGAAGGGUUACAAGAUAGGUAUAUAUAAGCAAAGCCAAAGAGUCCCAGCAUCUUAAGUUUCCAAAUUUGAGUUUGGGUGAAUUCAUUCAAAAUAUGUUCCUAAACUCGGCAGGAUUGCCAUGAUGAUUUGAGCGGACUUAGAUUGCUUGAGCAGUUUCUACCGCUUAAGCGGCCCCUGCUUUUUGAAAAAUCAUUUUAAAAAUAUUUUAAGCUCAAAAAUUGAUACUAAACCUUUUAUACCUCAAAUGAGCCUUAUAUGCUAUAAGUCAAACCCUUUUAGAUGUACCUGUGAGUUCUCAGUUGGAUGAACAACAACCCUUGAUCUUCAAUGGAGAGCAAGUCACUAUAUAAAAAGACUUAUAUGCCUAAACAUAAAUUGGAACAAAAUUGCCAACAUAUAAACAAGACUCCAUGUCCUAACAAAGGCGAAUUCACAUCAAAAGAAUUUAGAGAAUAUUGUAAAAAUUAUAGGAUUCGUCAUCCUUUAUUUAAUGGUUUCAUAUUUUCCAUAACAAAAUGGUGUAAUUAAAAGGAAAAUUAGAAUUAUGUUUUUUUUAUAUGGCUUGAAGUAUAUUGAAGAGUAAGAAGAUGCCUAAAGAAUUUUGGGUCAAAGCAAUUGAUUUUUCAGUUUAUUUGUUAAAUUGUUCUCCUAAUCAAAGUGUAUGAAAUAAAGCACCAAACAAAUUUUGAAUAAAUGAAAGCUAGGUAUUUCACAUUUGAGAGUAUUUGGAAGCAUUGCAUAUGCCAUGUGUUGAAUCAAUCAUGAUCAAAGUUAGAUGACAAGAGCAGAAAAUAUAUCUUCAUUGUUAUGACUCAAGCUCCAAGGUUAUAAAUUAUACAAUCCAAACAAUAGGAAGAUUAUUAUUAGUAAAGAUGUCAAGUUGAAUGAAAAAGAAUCAUAAGGAUUGGAGUGCUCAAGAAGGUGACUAUGAUACUUCUCUAUAUGAAGAAAAAGAACAAACAAGAGGAAGUUUACAAGAAAUUGCUACUCCACUUUCAUCACCACCUCCUUUAACUCAGGAAGUUUCAACAUCAUCCUCAUUGCAAAGCUCAACUGAAAAGACACCAAGUUUUAAAAGUUUACAAGAGAUUUAUGAGGUAACAAAAUAUCAAAAUAAUCUAACUCUUUUUUUUUUUUUUUUUUUUUUUUUUUUUGCAAAUUGUGAACCAAUAAGUUUUGAAGAAGCAAUUCAAGAACAAAGACAGAAAAAUGCAAUGGAUGGGGAAAUAAAAGCAAUAAAGAAGAAUUACAUAUGAGAACUAAAUCCCCUAUCAAAAGAGAAAAAGACAAUUAGAGUAAGAUGGGUAUACAAAGGAAAAAAAGAAUGUGAAAGGAGUAAUGAGAUACAAAGCAAAAUUGGUGGCUAAGAUGUCAAAUGUGUUCCCAAAAUGUUUUAGGGCUAGUAGGAGUUUGUUAGGUUUGAGCCCUAGAAAGCAUGACAUGAUGUAACAGGUUGAGAUUCGUUUAUAAAUUUAUUUAUUCAUUUUUCUUGGUUUCUUUUUAUCUCAUAUGCAUUAAUAAGUUAUCUAAGCAUACAUGCCCACAUUACUUGCAUUGUACAUGUUUUGGGUGCAUUAGAAGUUACAUAGAAGAUCUAAGUUAUGGGUUCCUUGCAGAGUGAUGAGUUGUCUAUAGUCAGUUCAUGGAUUUAGGAAAUUCAUUUGAGAAUAUAGUGUACUACCUCCUAAUUGGAGGGAUGACUUGUCUUGGUCAUCAAAAUAAUUUUUCUAUGGUCAACGCACUAGUGUUUAUGAUAAAUACUAGACAAGAUCUAUAGUGAAUCAUGACAUAAGGCUAUUAAUUAUCACGAUUAACCAAGCUACUAUACUGCAUGGACUUUUAACCUUGGGAAGGUAUUGAGCAUGUGAUAAAAUCAACAAGUGACUUUGACUUAUAGGUGAGACACUAUUGUGGUCACAUAUCCUUAUGGAUUGGAUCAUUAUUGAUGGAGGUUGGUGACAACAGGUAUUCUCCAUAAAGGCACCAUGAUCUCAUGGGUUUGAGAGUGUGUGUCCCAUUGGGUGAUCCAAAGGACAUAUGAUCUAAAAGACUAUAACCAUAGCAUUUUCUUUUAUGGAAAUUUGACAUAUGUUCCUUAGAGCUAGAGUAUGUCAAUCUAUCACAUAAUAAGGAGGAAUUUUAACUCAAGGAUUGGAGAGAUAAUCUUGAUAGGUGAUAACACUAUCUUGUUAGAUUAUGAACACUAAUUUAUGGGAAGUUUACAUACAAAGAUAGUAGGUCAUAGACCCAAGCUUCAUCUCAUUGUUAUUUAUGUAAGGUAUUAGAGUGUAGUUGAUUCUCUAUAGUGUGAUAUUGAAUCAAUUUCAUAAUUAGAUUUUGAGGGAGCCAAUACUCCUAUGGGUCCCAAUGGCCUCCACUUAAGCUUUUAUACCUUGAUGGCAUGGUCUAUGAGGGUUGGAUUGGCUCUAGGUUUAUUUUUGUGCAUAAAGCCAUUUUGGUAAUUACACAAGGUUACAUAUGGGUUAGUGAACAAGGUCUUUGGAUUGGUCGCAUUGAUUAAUUAGAUGACCCUAUGAGGUUAAUUAAUCUAUUAAGACUCAUUUUAGGCUUGAUGAAGUGACUUAAGCCCUUGGUAGGAUCAAGCCACUUGAACCAAUUAGAGAACCCUAUAAAUACCCCAUUAGAGGUUAGGGGUUCUAGUUAGUCAUCUUCCACCAUCCAGAAAGAAAAUAGUCUUAGCCUCCUUGAUUCGCGUAUGUAAAUCCAGUCGGGUCAUUUAAUCAAAAACAUUUAUAAAACCUAUGACCUCAUACUAGUGUAGCAAAGCUACUAUAGUAUAGUGGCUCUAGGGUCGAACUCUGGGAUGGGUUUUCAUUCUACCAGUGAUAUACUCAUGAUUAGGAAUUGAAUUUAAUGAUUUCCUUUAUCAAAAAUUUAGAGUUUAAAAGAAAAUAAAAUUUGUUUUGAAAGUGUUUGAAACUAAAUUAACAUAAACUAAUUAAAAAUGGAAUAAAAAAAGUCUCCCGGAGCUCAGGAUUGCUAGGAUCAAGUUUAGAAUGCAAAGUGGAAAAUUCCGGAUUUUUCUCCUCGCAUUGGGGAUUUAACCUAUAGUUAUUUCCCGAACCGGUAUAGGUUUAACAAUGAAGAUUUAAUCCAUAAAAAUCAAUAGAAAUGGUAGUCAAGGUCCAUUAAUGGCUUUAGACACUAUGGGUCUUCACCUUGAACCACUUUCCAAUGGCUCGUACAUGAUAACUAAUGGACUGAUAUGGAUCUAGCAAUAAGCAUCCACAAAGACCUGAAGCUUACCAUGUAUUGGCCAUUCAAAGUGAUUCUAAGGGAUUUAAAGCAAAACUUUGGAUUUAAAAGCCAUUUAUGAACUUCAACUACCUGUAUUUAAGGCACGAGCGUUUUCCACCUUGCAUCUAGACUUUUCACCUAGCUUCCAUCACUCCAAGAAACCAAAAGUUUAGCCUCUCAUCCUCUGAGAAAACAUCCUCAGAGGUUGUUUGGCUUCCAAGAAAAAGAAAAUAGUAAAGAGAAAAGGGAAAACGAGAGAGCUCUAUAUAUUUUUCUAAGUGUAAAACAUAACACACGUGAUACCUCCAAGAGGUGAUUUCCACCCCUUAUAUAGUUUUUACAAAAGCAAAGCUUGUGAUUGGCUUGUUACAAGGAGAAGAAAGGAAAUUACAUCAAAAAAUACAAAAGAAAAUAUCUAAAGUGGAGUCGACAAAAACAGAGGAAAUUUCGCACCACGCAUGGGGUGUGCGAAUUUUCGCACACCUGAGGGGGGGUGUGCGAGUUUCGCACACCAUUCGCACACCUGGAGCAGUUGUCUUCCGAAGGCCAUAUCUUCCUCGUUUCAGCUCCAAAUCAUACACAGUUUGAAGCGUUGGAUUCUUGACUUCCUGAGCUUUGAAAUGGUAUAUAGCAUGUAAAAAAUGGACUUCGGGAAGUGCUCCAAAAGUGCCAAAGAAUACUGCAGCUGCUGUCCUCUGUUUUCCUCCUUGCUUCUCUUUGCUUCCCUUUGGUUUUCUUUGCUUUUCUCCUUUGGAUGGCUUGUCUUAAUGAUCUAAAAAGAUGUCAAAAACACUAAAACUAGCCACAAAUAUGAUUAGGAGUCAUUGCUAGGUCCUUAACAUGCCAAUUGGAAUAAAGAUGAAGAAUUACUACACAAAAGUGCUUAAAACAUAAUGACUUAAAGGUGUAAAAUAGCACUUUUUGGGUAGUAAUCACUCCUCCCUUUUAAAGACUUAUCCUUGGAUUACUAAGAUUAAAGUUAAAGCUAUCGGGCAAAAGAUCUUGGGUGUAUGAGACCUUCGAAUACUUCAGGCUUCAAUUUCACCAUGUGGAUUUGAUAUGGGAACAUCCAAACCAAGGUAUUGUAUUCUAUUGCUCUUUAAUCUAGAACCAUUUUGUUAAAAAUGAUAGCUUUGCUUCUAUUACUUAGGGCUUAGAGGCUUAAAAAGUUUUUACAUUCACUUAACCUAAUUUGAGUAUAAGGAAUGAAAUGAUUUGGGUUUCCAUACAGACAGUUCCUUAUGUGAAUGCAAUUGAAAGUUUAAUGUAUGUUAUGUUGGGUACUCGACUUAGCAUAUGCUUCAUAGUUGGAUUGGUCAAUCAUUACCAAAGUAAUGCAGGCCUUGUUCAUUGACAAGUAGUUAACACGAUUUUUCAUUACCUCUAAGGGACUAGAGAUUAAAAAGAUAUUGUGAUGCAAAUUGGGCUAGUAAUAGAGAUUAGUGCAAAUCUACUAUAGGAUAUGCUUUCUUACUUAAUGGUGUAGUUGUUACUUAGUGUAGUAAGAAGCAAUCUUACAUUACUCUAUCCACUAUUAAGUCAGAGUAUGUGGCUUGUUCAAUGGUCAUACUGGAGUUUGUCUGGUUAAGGAGAUUCUUCCAAGAAGUCACAACUCUAACCGAAGAGCCCAUUACUAUUUUAAGUGAUAGCAUGGCUACUUUAGUAAGGAUCCUAAAUACCAUGGUAGAACCAAACACAUAGAUAUCCGUUUUCACUACACUCGAGACAUUAUUGCACAAAAGGGGGUAGCCUUGAAACAUAUCUCAACCAAUAGAAUAAUGGUUGAUCCGCUUACUAAAACCAUUGCUAAAGAUGUCUUUCAUAUUUAUGUGAGGAGUUUGGGACUUUGUAGACUUUGAUGUGUUUUUUAUUUUUGGAAACCUCUUAUAAUAACAUUUUAUGGGUAUCUUAUGCAUUUAUUCCUAAUAGAUGUGGAUUUUUUUAUUUUAGUUUGACUAAUACGAACAACAUACAUUAUUUUUAUCUUAUGCAUUUUAUCAGUCCAUUCACAUGGAUAAUCAUCUUGGUGCUUAGAUGGCAAGCAGGAUGAGACAAUAUUUAUUUUAGCAUUAAGAAAGCGAGCAAAAUAAACUAUAUAUUUGGAACGUCGCCUUAGCUAAGCUAAGAUGAGACAUAUCAUAUUGUAUGUGCUAUCUAUGACUAUUAGAGGGAGUGAUUGGAUGGAUCUUUACUCUGAUACUAUGUGAACCCUUACAAACUACUAUGAAGUCUACUUUAUACCCUUGAACCUAGGACUAUGUCAUGAAAUAAGGGCAAGAUGUUGCUACGUUAACAUGUAACCCAAGGAUCAUGAUUGAUACGAUCUAAGGAAUAUGUUAGGAAAGUGGUCAAACCUAAAUGAAUUGGCAUCAGUGGUUAGGAAAGAUUGUUAGUAACACACCACCAUCUAUAGCUCGUAGUCUAAACAAUUAUAUUAACUUUGUGUUCGAUAGAAUUAUGAGUACAAAUAUGUAAUAUAAGUUGGGGUUAAGCAUUUUUAAUUUAGAUAUGACUCAUUAAGGGGUUUUUAAAGGUGCUUGAAUUGGUGUGAUUGACAAGUCUGGGGUAUAAACGAGAUAUUUUAUUUUGAGUGAUGUGUUGUGCUAGUGGGAUGGACACUUAGCAUAAGCACUCCUACUUUACAGGUUCUUGUCAUGUCACAUGUUCCACUUUCUAUAUGCAGAAAAGGACUUGAUGCAAGAUUAAGAGAAAAGAGAAUCCAAUGUGGAUGAACGAGAGAUGUUAGAAUUUAAAUUUUCUUUUUAAACUUGUUGUCCACAUAUGGGUUAAAAUAAAGGAGAAUGAAUAAGUAGAUAAUAGUCCAUGAAAUUCAAAAUUUGUUUUUGAAUUAAAUUGGUUAAAAACAUAAUGGAGAUAAUUAUCCAUUCAGAUUAGAAUCCUUAUUUUUCACCAAUAAGGUUGCCUAUAAGACUCAUUGGUGAGCCUAACAAUCUUUUUUUCUCUAGAAGAUUUGAGCUUCUCCAUCUCUCCUUUUAUUUUCUCUCGAUCAAGUUUUUCUUGGUGUCCACUUACACUUAGAAUCUAGAGGGUGGAGUAAUAACAAACUCUAGUAGUUUCUUCAAAGAAGGAAGUUACCAACAUUAAAGACUAUAAUUCAAGUUACAAAGAUAUUUCACAGGUAUUUAUCGAGACUAUAAUUUUAACUUUUAUCUUACAAAAACAAUUUUCUUUAUAUCCUCUAAUGGAUUAAGAAUUAUUUGUAUGUUAUUAACUCAACUAAAAAUAAUGAUACCUCUACUAAUUCAUCAAUGAGAUUGAAUAAUAAUAGAAAAACUUGGAGUUUGUAAUUAGCAUAUUCAUGACUCAACUCUCUUUCCCAUUUGACAACUACCACAAAUAAAAGGCUUUGUAGAACAAAUUUGAGAUAGCAAUAACUUUCUUAAUUAGCUGCUACUACCUUUAAAAGCUUGGAGUGAGGAUGUCUUAUUCUUUGAUGUCAAAUUUCUAAAGAAUCUAUAUAGUAAGUCGAUCUUUAUCAUAAAACUAAAACAAAAUUAAGAAAAUUAAUAAAGCUAGAAAAUGAAAAGCCACGAGAAUACCCUUUUGCAACUACAAUUAUUUGAUAGCAUAGACCCUAGAAAAAAGAUAAUAUACACCAUACAAAAAUCUCAAAAUCAUGUUCUUCUUAAAAAAUUACCUUUAUAAAGGAGAGAUGAAAGUUCACAAAUAAGAUAUACAAGUGGAUUUUCUCUUACAUGCAUGAAGAAGGAGGUAUAGUAAAAAAAAAUAAUCCGGUUUGAAAAAGGAAAUGCAAAAUAAGGGUCAUAAUAAAUGGGGGGAAGAACUGGUAUCAAUAGACAUAGACAUACAAGAAGAAUAAAUGGGUACAAACUAAAAAGUCAUCACAAGUUAUUGUAGGGGCAAAAACGGAAUAACUUAAUUGGCAUACAAGGAGAAUGAUUGAUAAUGAAUUAAAAAGCAAUUACAAAGUAUUGUUGGGGUUUCUUAGGCUAACAUGAGAAAGAAAUUUUUUGAAAGGGCAUUUUGGGUACAACAUUCUGCAAGCCUAUUUAAUUUAAACAACAUUUUUCAUGUUUAUAUUAUUUAUCUAAUUUAACUUAGAAAUAUUUUUAAUUUUAUAACAAAAGCAUUAUUAAAAACUAUAUUAAAAUCAUCAAAAUAGUGCAAUAAAUGUAUCAUCUGUGUUGACAAUUUUUUUUUAAAGAGUCAAAAGAGCAUAUCAAAUUACUGAUAUUAAUUAAGUUUUGAUGUAUGGGGAGAGGGGAAGAGAAGAAUAUCAACUUCAUUCAUGAAAUUUUAAUAAACGAAGCAUGAGAUAAGGGAUCUUAAAACCACCAACAAAAAUGGUCAUAAUUAAAUAAAAUAUAUACAAAUAAAUGAUAACCCACAAACUCAACUCCUGGCCUGGCCCCAAGGAGGUUGGCUUUUCCAGGAGGAAAUAAAUAAAAAUUCAACCUGAAGCUAAAAAAGAGGAGGCAAAAUCAUGAACGCUAGGCAUCGUCCUCCAAACCGGGCGGUGGCACAUUGCUAAAAUAAGUACAUAUGAGAUCAAGGUACAGUGGAAACUGGGAUACAGCAAAAGAAGUUGCUGGCAGGCAGGUUACUGCAUAUACUGGGAAUGCUGCAAUUUUGAGUUCAUCUUUAAGCACAAAGAAGUGGCCAGCGCAGAAAGAGACCAAGAUCGCCGCUAUGGAUAUGAAAAGAGAAGUUAAUCCAGCCAAAAGCUUUCUGGGCAACUCUUUGCCAGAGUCUUUUUCUUCGUACCUGGAUGUGAGAAUUGCAAGAAACGUGACAGUGGAGGUGACCAGAGAGCAAAGAGCAAUGAGUGAUGAAAUUGCAAAGAUACCAAAUGCUAGCUGCUACUCAAGAUUCGGUUUUCCGCUCCCCUCCUUGGUGCCGCCCGGUACAGCAGUUGAUGUGGCGAAGGCGACAGUUGCAAUGAGUGUUGCUACCAACGAGCAUGAGGUGGCUGUGUUAUUUAGCCAUUGCCCACCCUUUUGCACCAGAUCUUUGUGUUCACGGGUGAAAAUCUGCUUUGCAGACUCGUUUUCAUUUUUGUGGAAACGGAAGAAAUUCGGUGGCAUGGACUUCUUCACAUACUGCCAUAAAAUGUAAGUUAAUUAGUUAGUGCAUAAAAGGAACAUCAGGAUAUGAAGAAAAAGACCCAAGUAGUCAAAAGUAAGCCAAGGCGUGUAGUACUUAAUGUGUAGGAACCCAAAACUUAGUUGAAGAUGGUGCUUUCUUCAAGGUUAAUGUUGAUCAAAGAUGGCACUUAUUAAAUAUUGGGAGGUGUCUCAAACUUCUAAUUAGAAUAUAUAAAUAAAUACAUAUAUAAAUACAUAUAUAUAUAUAUAUAUAUAUGUAUUUCGUAAAAGGAAUAUUACAUAGAAUGUUUUUUAUAAGUUAUGGUGCUUUCUUCAAGGUUAAUGCUGAUCAAAGAUGGCACUUAUUAAAUAUUGGGAGGUGUCUCAAACUUCUAAUUAGAAUAUAUAAAUAAAUAAAUAAAUAAAUAAAUAUAUAUAUAUAUAUAUAUAUAUAUAUAUAUAUAGAUAUAUAUGUAUAGAUAUAUAUGUAUUUCGUAAAAGGAAUAUUAUAUAGAAUGUUUUUUAUAAGUUUAUAUGCUAUUGUAAUUAGAUUCCUUAUAUUCCUAUAUAAAUAUUCCAAGCCUUUAUAGGGAAAAGUCAUGAGAAAGAGAUGAACUCGUGAGAACUAUACGUAGUGGAUAAAAAUGUGAGGAAAAAGCAAAAGAUAUUCGGUGGAGAAAGAGGGCUCACCAGGGUAUAGAUGUGAGAAAAAGUGAGAUACUUGAUGGAGUAAAAUAUAUAGUCCAUAGUACUUAAGGGUAAAGAUAUAAAGAGUGAAGAAAAGUGAGAUGUUUCAAAACCCAACAGUUGUAUCUAAUUUUAUUCUUUAUAAUGUUCUUUAUUGUAUAGUGGAAUGUUCUUUCUCAUCUAUAAAGAUAAGCAUAAUAGGUCAAACCACAUUAAAACAUUUCUAUGUGGUUUGCUUUUUUUUUUUUUUUUUUUGUCAUUCUAUUAAUAUGUUUAUGUUGACAUUUUCGCAUGCACAACGAAUGGUAUCAAAUCUUCCACAUGCACAACAUUAUAGACAUUAAAAUUGUCCCAAAAAAAAACACAAUAACAGGCUAAAGGAUAAAGAAACUUUGCCUUGAUCUUAUACAUUUCUUGAGGUGAAUAAAGAGUUAAAAUAUCAUGAAAAGAAUAUAAUGUCUCAUACCUCAUACCAUUUGACUUCCCAUUGCAUUUGCAAUGCAACACCUGGAGUGAGCCAAGGCCGAUAAUCUGCAAACAUGGCAGCUAGAUGCAAUGCACUGUUCCCUUUAUUAUCAACGGCACCAAAUACACUAUCUUUCACAAUAUUUCUCUUCAGGAAGAGCUCAUACACAUAGGGGUGCCUAUUCUCCACCGCCAAUAGCACUAUAUUCUUCUUGUUGGAGUCUAUGUCAUGAAUGGCCAUGGGGUAAAGAUCAAGGAUUCUCUCCACCAUUUCUUUGAUACCAUUCUUUUCUGUAAUCAAUAUUGGUGUUUCCAGUACUCCCAUUCCUUCAGUUUUCAUCUUGGUUUCCAAGAGAAGCUCAUCAUCCAAUUUUUUGGCAGCUUGAGCUGCUACAAUUAUUGGUUCAGCCCAGAUGCUGGCUUUACCCAGCCUGGGCAGUAGAGACCAGUUGGGAUCUAUUACCAGGUUGAAAAUUUAAAACAUCCUUAAUUUCAGCAUGUGUGGACCAAAACCAAAUAAUGAAAAUUCAACAAGAUUUGUUUGGAUAAUAUAAAUAAUUAAAAAUAUUGUGCAAUCCUAUGCUAGAAUAUCCAGAACACCGAGAAAAGUGAUCAGCUGGGAGUGGUUAGAAUUAGAUAUGAAUUACAUUUAUUCCUAGUAUAACUCUAAGAAAACCUGUUGCAACAAUAUUAGAAUAAAAAGUUUAUAUAAGCUUUCCAUUUUUCUCAUAACAACAAAGAUUUGUCCUUUUGAUUAUCAUCAGCCCUUAGGACACAACUACACACCAUCCAAUUGAUGUUUAGAAGUUUCAAAGUUUUCUUUCUUAAUCACAUGUAGCAGUAGAAUGAUAAUUAAUUUACCAACAUAGCAUUGGUAGGAAGUUGAUAUAUGAUUCGUAAAUACUCUUGUAAAGAAAAUAAGGAGGAAAGUCCAUAUGAAUCACCAAUAUAUUCAUCUACUUUUGCUGCAUGCAGACUAAGCUACAAUGUAUGCAUUUACAACAUAUGUGCUUUUUGAAGCUUCAAUCUGGAUUAUAAAGAAAAGGCAGCCACAUGUCAAAAUUAAUGUUGACAUCUCCAACUGCUUGGAAAGUUAGUUGUUUGAUGAUAGUAGAAUUUCUUUAGAUUCAUAUCACAUCAUGUUCUGUGAGUGAGUGGUUGAUUCAUGUUUUGACAAAUAUGACUAAAGAAAACAAUUCCAUUCACCCACCUGUAAAUACAUUAAUCUUGCUCCAAAGCACUCGCAAUAAGUCGGUACGUGUUUGUUUUUUAGAGUUCUUGUCAUCUCCAAGUGGGCGGUGGACCUCAGGGACAAGUAUACCUUGAAAAAUGGUAAAGGCGAUUUACAUAUUGAUACAGCAAUUAAAAUGAGUACAUAGUAACACAUUGCACACAGCAGAAAUUAAACUCAUUUGUGGUUUGUUUGGAUGGCAAAAAUAAAGGUGUACGAUGGGUAUUCACAGAUUUCAAUACUGCUAAUAUUAUGAUUAGGUUGGUUGGGAAUACUUACAAUGAUAAAUGAGUUUGUCAACCGGACUGAGGUGAGUUCCACUUCUGAAUGCAGUAGGCUUAUUUGCCCGUAAAUGGAGAGGGCUGGCUCCCCUGUCGCUGAUGGUGUUAACAAGAUCUUCGUACUGUAGAGCCAUUAGAUAUGCCAAUUCUGUCAAGAACAACCAAAGUGUCCACUAAAAAUAUUCAGAAAUGUAUAUAAAAGCAUAUUUGGACAUAUACGCCCAAGACUACUAUGUCUGGAUCAAAAUACUUACUGGAGUGUCCUCCAGCGAUGGCACAGUGAAGAAUUGUUUCACCAUUUUUGUUCCGAAGCUUCCCAUAAAAUUGGGCUCGGCUUCCAGACAUAUCCAGAAGGCAAAAGAAAGCGCCAAUCUUACCAUGGCGAGCAGCCACGAAGAGAGGAGUUUCGAGUUCUUUGUUGCAAACACCCACGAGGUAUGGAUGGCCGCAAGCAAUGUGUAAGCACAUUGAAACAUUUCCUAUUGCUGCUGCCAAAUGGAGAGGGGUAUCCCCUUGCUCCUUUUUUAUGUCGAGAACAUCCUUUUGGUUACCAAUAACCUGCACUAGUUUUUGAACAAUGCUUUCUUGACGAUCCAAGACAGCUAUAUGGAGCGCUGUGUUGCCUUUCGUGAUCUUUUCCCUGCCGGCCCAGGGCUGGUCCUCGUAUGUCGUCACCACUGCUUCCCAAUCUCCUUCCAUGGCUUUUUCAAAUAAGUAUCUCCUGAUUGAUUCACUCAUUAUUGGAACAUUUCCAAUGCUUCCAUCCAUCUCGUAACAACUACAAGGAAAAGAAAAGAGGUGUACAGAGAAGAAGCUGCUCAGUUUCUACUCUAUGACAAUGUUCUUCAUGUGGCCCUCUCCAAUAAAUUGAAGGUAGCUAGCUAGAUACUUUGGCCCAGAUCUGGGAUUAGAACAAGGGAGACCCCAUUAAAGAUGUGCCUGGCCAUGUGAAAGAGCAGCCUUUUUGUCUGAAAAAGCGAACAUAUAAAAUCAAAACUAAUCAAAUCAUAUUGUUCUCUAAUCACGCAAUCUCUAAGAUACCUAACCCUUUUGUUUUCUCACCACUUUUUUAGGCACUUCAGCAUCUUGCGGAACAUUUAUUGGCAAUAGGAUUUUAAUUCUAUAUUACUGAAUAGCAUUGCCUUGUUCCUGUGGAGCUCAGAUGGAUAAAAAAGCAAAAGAAAAGAAUUACAGAAAUCAAAAAUCAAAAAGAAAAGGAACGAUUCUCAUCUCUUUUUGAUAUUAUAAUAAUUUAACUUAGAAUCCAGCUAGGAACAUAGUACCGAGAAGCAGAGAAAAGCAAUAUUUUCAAAAUCAAACCUGUUGUUGAACCAGAAAAAUUGCUAGGUCAGGAUGACCAAGCUAGCACCUUGGGAGAAGUUUGAAUUUAAGCUUAGUCCAGCAAAGGAAGCCUCAAAACUGUUAGGAGUUUCAUCACUAUUCUUGUGAUAAUGAUAAAAGAAUCGGAGGCAAUAUGACCAAUUUCUUACAGAUUUGACACCAUAUAGGGGAACGAUUACGCUGGUUGUUGAACCAAUCUGGGCAUUGUUUGUGCUGAACUAGAAACUGUUUAUAACGUAGACACAAAUUUGAAACUUAAUAAAUUAGUUUCAACAAAUGCAGUGGCAUAUAAACUUCACUUUUGACUUCAAACAAAGCCAUUUUCACUGACUAUUAUCCAUGGUUACUUGCUUUACUUCUAUGUAUUUUUUUUUUUUUUUUUUUGAACUUCAAAACUUUAGUCACAUGUUAUACAAAUGUAACAGAUAAAUAAGGAGAUUAUGGAGAUCCAGAGAGUGACUAGCCCUGUGGGGCAGAUGUAGCUAAAGAGCCCGAUUGAGGCCAAUGUUGUAGAUACAUUACUUGGUUCUUCAUGUUUGAAAAUAGUCCCUAAGCCUUUUCUAAGCAUUUAUCCCUCCCAAUCUGUGGCACUCUUAAUAUAUGCCUCGGUUCUGUACGUUAUAUUUAAUGUGUGAAGGAAAAAACUUGAAGUAGCAAAGCCCUCCACUAUUUCGAAGGAGUGGAACACAUAUCUACCACUCUUUUGGCUACUGUUUCCACCCGGUGAAAAAGACACCCCAGAAACAGAUUCUAGCCAGGUGAAGUUGCAGUCAACAUAUAUAUACUGCAUGAGCAAAAAAGUAAAACUGAUGCUGGAUGUGCAUUUGAACCGCUGAUCGAUCUUCCAUUGAUGACUGGAUUCCGGAAGAAGUUAGACCAAUGAAUCCCUUCAAAAGACGGGAUUUGGAACAAAAUAUUGCCGCAUUUUGCAUUGUAAUUCUUUUUCAUGCUCAUGUUAUUUUUUUUAUGACAAUACAAUUCACAUUAAAUGAUCAAAUUUCUGAAUUGGGUUUUGUUAAGUUCUAUUUCCAAAAUCCUUUCAAACCACCAUGGUUAUUUGUAAAUAUGCCUAUUAGUUAUGUUAUUUAAUGAACUUGAAUAUAUUAUUGUUAUUAUCUCUAUGCAUUUCCGAAGCUCUCCGAAGUUAAAAUUCGUUUAAAUUUACUUGUGAUGGUUGAUUGCAUCCCAUUAAGUUGUUGAAGUGUUCAUUAAGGAUCAUAAAUAUAUUCUUCGUAUGUGAAUGUAGGACAAAGUAUGAAAUAUGAGUAAUUCCCAAAAUAUUGAUAAUUAAAAUUUAUGAAAAUAUAGAAAGUAUUAGAUGGAGAAAACAAACAUGGAGGAAAUCAACCAAAACUAAUAGAGAUAUUUAAAAAAAACAAAAAUCUAAAAAAUGAUUAAAAAAAUAAUUAUAUAUAUAAUCAUUAAGAUGGUUAUCAUGAUAAUUUUUAUAUUUUUAACAAGUAGUUUAAUGAAAUUAAAAUUUAUUUACUCAUUAAAAUUCAGUUUUUAAUAUUUUAUUUUUUUAUUAUUACAAAAGUAGUGUUUAAGUUUAAAGGAGCUGAUUAAAUUAGCGUUAUAUUUUACUCGGAUUAAUAAUAUAAAUGAAACUUAUUUAAAGGAUAAAGUCCUCAUCGUGUUCCAAUAGAGGCCAGAAGUUGUAGGAAAAUCUUCAAUAACAUGCACAUCACUAUAUAUGAGUGAUUUAGGCUAGUAAAAAUUUCGAUUGAUUAAAAAAAUUUUAAAUUUUCUUGAAAUAUUGGUUGGUGUGUUCCUGAAAUUUCAAACCUUACACGGCCCAUAUUAGGAUUUUAAUUUUAUAUAUUUUUUAUUUUUAUUUUUAAAAAUGGAAAAGAUAGAACCGUUGUAUAAUAUGGUUGAAACUUAACUUAGAAAAGAUAUAAUUUUAAAAGAUUAUUUAAAAAUAUAAAUACAAAAAAAAAUAUUUUUAUUAUCUUAAAUUUCAAAAAUUUUAAUUCAAUUUUCAAUUAUAGAUCAUUACUCUUUUAUAAAAGUUUUAAAUUUCAUAGAUGUGUUGGAAAGUAAUAAACAAACAAACGAAUAUUUUAAGAAAUGAUUUUUCUAUAAUUGAUUUAUCAUGAAAAAUAAAUAAUAAAUAUAAUUCAAAUUAACUUAAAAAUUAUAUAUUUUAAAAUUAUUAAUUUUUUGUUAAAAAAUUAAAAUAUAUUAUCAUUUAAACAAAAAAACAAAUAUUUUAUAUUUUAAAACAGAAAACCAUUUUAAAAAACAGUUAAUAAAUAGGGCUUCGGUUUCCUCAUUUUCAUAUCAAUAAUCUCUAAUUUAAUUUGAUGCUAAUUAAAAUUAUGUUUAUCAUUAGUGGUAAAGCAUCAUCAGUUAAUGUCCUCGAGAAAAUAACAAGGACAUUAGAGCAGUGUGCUUGUAAGAUAAUGAAAAGAUUUUUAUAUUUUAUAAAUCACACUGAUAGAUCACAAGAAUAUUGUAGUCAUAUAAUGCCAUUGCAAAUUGUUAACUGAUCCUCUUUCAUAUCUGUUUGUAUUCUGUACAGCUUGCCAACAUCUUUAGUUUUGAAUGCAACAGUCAGAAGUCAAAAAUACAGGACUGAAUUUAGUUUUAGUUUAGGUAGAAUUUUUCACUUAUUUUAAAAGUACUUGAUACGUUUCACACACAGAAUACAUUUGAAUAAUGACCUUGUUUCUUUCUAGAGUGUAUAUAAAUGGGUCAUCCUUGGAUUACCUUGAAAGCUAUUGAUGUUUUUUUAGCAUUAUUGGCUUUCUAACCAGACCCAUAUGGACCACAAGGGCUUAAGAUAUUGAUUAGCCAAGUAAAAUUGAUUGGUUGGGGUCUUGAUGAAAGGACUUUUGUUUUUGAAGCCCCUUGCUCGUUUUUGCUUUGCUUCUUAGCGUGGUACGCAUCACCCUAUGUACUUUGUUACCAUUUUUGCUACACUCUAUAAAUAUAUUUUUGUUUGCUUACCAAAAAUGAAAAUGGCAUGGGACAACAUGUGAAAUUAUUUUACUUAUUCUUCUCGGCGUCCUUGUAAGUCUACUUGAUUACCUGAUUUUGUUUAUUCCUUUUAUUCAAAUUCCUUUAUGUUUUUUUUUUUUAACUUCAAUUAACAAUCUUUUUGAGCCUUUAUCCUAUGGAAAAUUCAUUCUUGAUCCUCUUUGGUAGUAGGUAAUGAUUGUAUAAGACUAACAUUUGGGAUUUUGUACCUUUACCAUCUAGUAAGAGUACAAUUGUUCUCAUUGGGUUUAUAAAAUUAAAACCAAGCCUAAUGGUUCGAUUGAGUGGUACAAACCUCGAUUCAUUGAUAAGGGGUUCAACCAAUAAUAUGACAUAAAUUAUGAGGAGAUCUUUGCUCCUAUUACAAAGAUAAUUACUAUUUGUACUCUUAUUGUAGUAGCCUUUGUUUGUCAAUGGGAUAUAUCUUAGUUGGAUGUCAAAAAUGUUUUCUUGAAUGGUGUUCACCUCCCAAUGUUUUGCAUAAUCCUAGAGAAGUUUGUAGGCUCAGUAAAAUUGAUUGGUUAAGGCAUUGGUGAAGGGACUUUUGUUUUUUAAGCGCCUUGCUUUUUUUGUUUUACUUCUUGGGGUACUUUGUAUCAACCUAAAAGCUUUGUUGCCCUUUUUCUUAGGCUUUACUAAUAUACUUUGUCUUGCCGCAAAGAAAAAAAAUGACAUGGGCAACAUGUGAUAUUAUUGCAUAUUUUUCUAUAUUAAUUUUCUGUACAUGUGCUUCCUCCAUUACAAAAACUCUUUGGUUAGCUUAUUUGAGCCUACAUUUCAUGGAAAAGCCUCUCUCCUUUCACACAAUGAAAGUAGCUUCUCGCUCAACAACUCACACUCCAUUCCUUGAGUUCCUUCAACCUGCAGACAAAGUGUGUUAACUAAAUGGUCAAAUUCAGUGAUAAAAUCAAUACAUGUGAUAAAAAUUUACAAACAUUUGUUUAAGGUAAGUUGUAUGUGUAAGUGGCUUUUCUUAAUAAGGUAUAGAAACCAUUUUACUAAGCAUAAUCUAAUAAUGCUUGUCAUUCACAACUAUCUUUUGCAGUCCCCAAACUAAUCUUAACUCUCGAAUUGUACCAAGUACAAGGUAGUUAUAUGUAUCUUGUCCUCUGAAAAGGUGAAUCUCAGUAAUGGACUACACCUAGAGGGGGGUAAAUAGGUAUUGUAGAACAAUUUAAAAAUUCUCCUAACAAAGAUCAGCUAACCUUAGACUUUCUCAAUGUGAAGAAACUUUUCUUCCAACAACUUUUCAACAAAGCAUAACAUCCACAAGCAAGAAUGUAUGCACCAACACUCUUCCAACAAUUUAUAAAUGCAAUACACAUGCAAAUGCUUCAACAAUCCUCAAAAAUAAAUCAAAAGAACAAUUAUCUCCUCAACUCAUAUCAAUUUACUACAUGGUAUCAUUAACCAAAAUGAGCAAAAAAAAAAAAACAACCACAGGCCUACCAACAAUCGAAAACAUCCACUAUGAAGAAUAAAAGAUAAAUACAAGGUUUUACCCAACUCAAGCCAACCAAUCCUUCCUAGACCACUUGACUAGUAUCUUUCACUUUCAGCUUCUCACGUUCUUCUAGAGCACACUUAAAGUCCACAUCAAGCUCGAUCUCGGCCUCUUCUUGAAUCCACACAAGAAGAAAAUGGGUUUGUACCCAAACCCAAAUAAAAUGAGAGAUUGAGAUAUGAAUGAAGGACUGAAUCAACCCAUUUAUUGCUCAAGAAAAUCCAUUAAAAACUAGUUUGGAAAACAUUAAGAGAAUUGGAUUUUCUUUGCAACCAAAAACUCUUAAAUUAGGAAAAGAGAAGAGAAAAUGAAGACCACAUGGAGUGGCUACAACUAUCUCCACGGUUGUUGCAGUCUCUCCCCAGAAAAUGAGAGAAGUUUGUAUUUAAUGUAUAAAUAGAAGCCCUUAAUCUAAAGGCUGAAAUUUGAUCUUAAAAAUAAGUUACUUGGAUCGAUCUGUCCCUGCACCUGGAUCGUUCCAAAAACAGGGGAAUAAAAGUUUUGCACCAAAAACUAUUUCUCUCAACUUUCUUAACUCAUUUAAAGAUGAAAAAUAAAGUUGAUUCACAUUCAAUCACCACACACUCGACUACAUACCUCGGCCUCUUAGCAAAGUCUUAAUCUUCAAAGUCAAAUAGUCCGAAGAGGAAUUGGAAAGCCGAGUUAGGGGACACUUAGGAAUUUUGUCCGAAAUUAUCAACCUAGCUGAACACUCACAUCCUCUAAAUUAUAAAACCAUAAAAUUAAGAGGUGAGAAAAAAAAACUAAUAAGAAAAAAUAUGUAAAGGAAAAGUACCUGAAGAUGUAAGUUGUAGAACACCCUCCCUCCAAAGGACUCAAAAGAUGAUGCAUUGAUUACAAGAAGCCCAUCCUCCUCCAAAUUUGACAAAACCUCAGAAAGAGGAUUCUCAUGGACAUUAAAUGUGGAUAUCUGAACCACAAUUUCCCUGUCACUAAGCCUUCUUGCUGAAACAGCAGAUAAAGAGCUUCCAAGUGUGCCAUUUCUUUGAUUUUCUAGGUGAAUUGGAUCUCCUUCCCUAGAAAUCUUUGAUAAAAACUCUUCUUUCUUUUGAAUCAAUCUCUCCACUUGUCGUUGCAGUUCUGGUAUGUAUUUUAGCACACGUGAAACUGUCGAAGGAAUGCUUAAUUUCUUCUGCAAAAACACCACAAAAUUUUGAAAAUUAUGUCUAAAAGGCCUACAAAACUUAUUUCCACUUUCUAGAAUCACUGUCAAACAUGCGCUUAGUACCACUUGAUCAGCUGAUGGAAGUAGUGAACGCAUAGAGGAGUACAAGCUGUUGAUCUUCUUCCGACGAUCCCGCUCACUGGCGUUGUGGUUAAGUUUCUUAACCAUCGUGGGAUUACCACGAACUGCUGCAGAUGGGGUGGAGCAAUUGAGUUCCACUUGUGGCUGAGAUGAGGAUAAGUGAAGAAACGAUUCUGAAGUUUCUGUUUCUCCAUAUAUGUAGUUCUGUGCAUGGCUUAUGGGAUCCUCCAAGGGCCAUCCAAGGGUUGGAAACGAUGGAGGGGAGAAUGCUAACAUUGUGGAUUCCUUUGGGGGUGUUAAACUUGAGUCUGAUAAGGAAAGUGAGAUGAUCUUUACAAUUAUAUAUACAAACUACCCAAUCUACCUCAGCAUCUAUUUGAUUAAUAUAUGGAGGGAUAAGAUAUUAUAAGUUUAUUUAUCUAGAAAUUGAGAAUGACUUAUUAUUAUUUUGGUUGGAAUUGCUGUUUAUUAGAUAGAUGGAGAAAACGACAUCUUAGUUUUUUAAGCCCAAGUAGUUCUAACCCUCACUAGUUGAGCUGGUAAUCCCAUUAAAUCUAAGCAGUUCGUGCCUAACAUGUGAUGAAAUUCGACCAGAAUGUGUCGACACAUGCCUGCACAUGUGUAUAGAGCAAUUACCCUUUUGAAGACUUGGGAAAAUUAUAUCCCGGUAUCCAAAGGGCAUCAAAGAUAUGUUAGAGGUUAGAAGUCCAAGCAAACCAAAUUAGGGUAGAUUUGAAUAUAUUUUAAGGUUAUAAUGUUUUGAUGUCUCUACAUCUAUCAAAUAAAAAAGAAAGAUAACAAUGGUGAUUUGUUAUUUAAAAAAGCAAAAACUCUUUUUCAAAAGAGCAGGACUUAGGGCCUUAUCCAUAGAACAUUGAUGUCAUGCCUUACGAUAUUUUUAUCCUACUUCCAGCUUUACAGGGGUUGGAGAUGAAGCUAUGGAAAACACAAGCUUACUGCAGGCUUGUUAAUUGCUUGCGCGGGCACAAGCUGCCAUGUCACGGGGAAGCACGCAGUCUCCACACUCCUCCCUCAGCCUCCCAGCCUCAUGGCAGCUGUUAUUAUAAAAUUCCAUCUUCAUCAAGGAAAGAGGAAUCUUUACUCUAAAUAUAUUCCCACUUUGACAGCAAUUCAUUUGGAAUCCAUGGACUUGCCAAGAAAAUAUAUGAAACUAGAUAAGAAAAUAUAGGAAUUGAUUUAGGAGUCAUACAUGUAAUUUUUAGUAUCAGUUUGAAUACAAUUUAUGUUUUUUAUUUUUAAAAUUAGAACAUAAUAGUAACUUUUAUAUAAGAUAAAAAUAUAUAUAUUUAUAUUUACAUUUACAUUGAAAAAGUAAUAAUUUAAAAAAAAAGUUUUAAAAUAUUAAAGUAAAAAAAUAAUAAUAUCUUAAAUUUCAAAAUUUUUUAUAUUGCUAUGUUAAAUAAUUUCUUUUAUUUUUGUGGUAUUAAAAUUUUCAGGCAAUUUAAAAAUAUUAAGUUAUAAAGAAUUCAGGUCAGCACAUUUGAGGGAAAUAAUUUAGGAUUUAUGCCCACUUGGCUAUAUGCAAAAUAAAUAAAUAAAUAAGGAAAGUAAAGAAAAUUAUAAAAACUCUUAAACUUCCAACCAUGCUAAUUGUCGAGGACCCUAUUAACUCAUUCCUAUUGUCUUGUUGAUUCUUUGGUCAAGCUGCAAUGUGGUAUCUUCAAUAUAAUAUUCCCCGGUAACUUAAUCAUUAUGGUGUUUGGAUGCCAAGAAAAUUAGGCAAGGAUCCAUUGGGCUCUCAUGAGAAAGUUAGAUUCCUUUCCGGAUAAAGCCUAAGCGUGUAUGACAUACUUAGUGUGGUUGGUUUCAAAAACUUGAUAGUGAAUUUUUCAUUAAAGAUUUAGGUGGCAUGCAUUACACAAGUUAUUAAAAAAACUUGGUGCUGAAUUUGCCAUUAAAGAUUUCGGUAACCUACAUUACUUCUUGGGAAUUGAAGUAAAACCUUUUCCUAGUGGCCUUUUUUCUCUCACAAGCAAAAUAUGUGAAGGACCUUCUUCAUCGAACGAGGAUGUUAGAGAGUUCUGCCAUCAAUACUCUUAUGAUUCUUAAGGAUAAACCAUGUAGUUCCAAUAAUGACCUUGUUGGUACAACAACCUUCAUAAGCCUCAUUGAUGCUCUACAGUACUUGAACUUCACACGACCAAACAUCAGUCAUGUAGUUAAUAAAGUUUGUUAGCAUUUUAAUGAGCCUAAAUUCAUUCACCUCAAGGAAACAAAGAGAAUACUACGUUAUAUCAUGGGUGUGGGGGGUCUCCCUCCACAUGUCCUCCCCCAAAUCAAAAACCCUUGGUUCGUCCAAGGUAAGCAGAUAAUCCAUCUAGAUCCAUUCGUCUGAACCAAAACAAACUCCGUCUGACGCAAGAAGAAAGAGAUUCCCUUCUUUCUGAGAGCUAGAUGGAAUGAACAAACCAAGUCAACUGAGCUUUCCAAAUGGAUUAACAAACACAACCGAAGACUCCAGGCAUUGAACAAAUGGAUAAUCACAUCCAGUGCCUGAGCAACGGCCUAGACGGCACUUAUGCCUAAAAGUCAAUGUCUACUAAUUGUUACGCGCAAUCUGUGAUAUUGAAAAACGUAAAUGCAUAGUCAACUACAUGGUCUCAGACUGUUGCUCGACAACCAACAAAUGGCACCAGUCAGUAGAUUUUGUUUGGUAUGAUUGCCCAAUCCACACAGAAAAUAUGGUGUUGACUCUCUUGCUAAGGUUUGAUUUCUGCCCUAAUGGCAAUCAUCAUCACAAAAAAGGCAUGAAUGCACCAUUAAUGCUACGACAAUGGUGUCAUCCACUCUAUAAAAACCCCUCAAGAAACAUGAAAUAGGUACACGCGUAUAGAGUCAUUCAAAAAAAUUAGACCCAUCCUUAUUCUUUUCUGACUUAAGCUUUGGAGGGGCGUGCCCGGACCACCCAUCUAGACAUCCUUUUGUAUAGAGAAUAAGCUCGUUUGACUCCAGAGAAGCUAAACACACUCAAUAUGGUUGGCACUUCACCAACAAUGGGGACACAACACUUCGAUAUUCAGUUCAUUUCUCAAAGUCCAAUCACUUUAUAUGGAUUUUGUGAAGCAGAUUAGGCAAGCUUUCCCAUGAUAAGAAGUAGUACAACAAUUUUUUGCAUUUUCCUUGGUGGAAAUUGUAUCUCUUGGUGCUCAAAGAAGCAACCCACUGUUUCUCGCUCUAGCUUAGAAGCUUAGUAUAGAUCCAUGGCUUUCAUAACUGCAAAAUUAGCUUGGCUAUCAUGCCUACUUCAAGAUAUUGGUAUUACCCUCUCUCAUCUUGAUCAACUGUUUCAUGAUAACAUUAGUGCAUUGCAUAUGUUUAUGAACCCCAUGUUUCAUGCGCGAUCAAAAUAUAUUGAGCUCAAUUACCACUUCAUGUGAGAAACAAUAGCUAUGGGUUUGCUUAUUACCCUAUAUAUUCCCACUUCAUCACAACCAGCAUAUAUUCUAGUGAAGCCACUUCCAAAUUAUCCAUUUAAACGAUUCUAAAGCUAGUUAAGGGUAUGUACCACUCCCUCUCCAACUUAAGGAGGUAUGUUAGAGAGACAAGUUUGAAUAUUUGCUUGCAUAAAUUAUGGAAGUUACACAUUCUAUUGCAUUGUCGUGGGUGGCCAACAUGAAAACUUGGUCAAUGCUAAAGAUUUGGAAAGUCUAAAAAAGAGGAUUAGGUAAAUUACAAGAUUAUGGACUUCCAGAAGCUUUAUACUUAUUCUUUUAGAGUAUUUGUAAUUAUUCCCUGUUGUUCUUUCCAUCUUUCAUAUCACUGUAAUAUUGUUUCCAUCUGUUAUAUCAUUUUAAUAUUUUGUAUAUAUUCGAGAAAGAUGAUGAAUAAACAAGAAGCUUCUUAGAAAUAUUUUUCAAUUAUAUUCUUAAAAAACAAUGAAAUAUGAAGAACAAAGUAAGAACAAUAAGUAAAAAUCGAGAGAAGAGAGAUGCAAACUCUUUUAUAGUGAUUCAAUAAGUUUCCUAAAUCUACUCUCCUCAAACUCUUAAUCAAGUGAGAGUUCUACUAUCUUUAAGACUUUUAUAGUCAAAGUCUUCAAACUUAUUAGAUUUUAAGAUUCCAAUGGGCCUCCACAACCUUUUCAAGAGUUUAUGCAUGUAUCCUCAUAAUUGUAAAAUUUGUGGUAAUAUUAUAAUACAUACCAAAUGGCUAAUGGAGGUAGAGGCAAUUGGUCAUCAUGUGGAGCUAUAUGUAAACGAUGAGGUGCAAUAAUUGGCAACCUCUCCCAUAUAACUGGAGCAAAAUCAAUGGCCCAAAUAUCAUGUGUAUCAAUUUGAGAGGAUCGACAUAACUAUCAAUAAAGCUAGGCUAAACAGGCACUACCCCAACUAUACCUACUAGCAGUCUCAAAUUCCUCUAGAAAUGGUAAAAACAUAAGAUGUACCUUAUUGCUAGACUUUCUUGAAAAUAAAAAAACCUUUAAUGGGUUGUAAGAUAUAAGCCUUAGUAUAACGCUGAAUAAACUCCUCAUUAGCAUACGGUACCAAAGUAGGGAAGCUCUUAGCCAACCAUGUAAGAUGAAGGCUUUGUCCAUCUAUGUUUGUAUCUCCAGGAGUGAAUCAUAAUAAAGAAUAACAUACACGUCUCCAAUCUAGAUAUAUGCUACUAGUAACUACAGCUCCAUCUACUGGUAGUCUAAGAAAAAUGGCAAUGUCCUAUAGUGUAAUUGUGCACUCUCCCUGAGGUAAGUGAAAGGUAAGAGUCUCAGGUGGUGACCUCUCAACAAAUGUAAUAAUAAGGUGCCAAUAUAAGGAAAUGAAUCCCAAGUGUGCAACACCAUAGAAGCCUGCCUACUGCAAAAAUGGAAUAAUACACCCAUCGAGUGUACCAAUGCGAUGGAAAAUUGCCUCACGAUGUCGACAAUGAAGCUCCUUAACGUCAACACUUAUCCAUGCUAGAGAUGAGCUAUGUGUACCUUGUCCAUGUAUAAUUGUAAGAUCCAAUGGUCCCAGCUCCAUCGUGUCAUAAUACCUACAUAUAGUAAAUAACCAUUGUUUCUUUUUAACAUUAGUAUGAUUACAAAUUUAAGCACAUUACAUAAAAAUAUCAUAUUAUCAAAAUGGAAUUGUUAUGAGGAAGGGGGUUGGAGGAUUGCCUUCCAUAUUUUAUGGGACAGUUGCGACGAUUAUGCCACUCUAUUUUACAUAAGCCACAUCAAACCCUAACGCUUGGUUCCUUCAAACCAUUUCAUUCCUUAUCCUUGAUGAUAUAUGACGCCCCUUAUCCCUCAUCGAAAUUGAGUCAAGAUGGAGAAUCGAAAAAUCAAGAUACGACUAAUAAGAUUCAUGUGGAAUGAGAUUAAAUUCAAAAGUGUAACUAUUGGCAUAGGCAUCAAUCCGAUAGUAUUUUUCAAAAAAUUGCCAACUAUCAAUCCUCAUAUGAGCACAAACAGCUAGCACGUGUGAGCAUGGAAUGCUAAAUGAUUACCACUUAUUACAACUACAUGUACCUUCAUUCAACUUAACAACUUAUUUGUUAUGUCCUUUAUCCAUAUGAAACCCAUGGAGAGCAAUAAUUACUUCAAAUGUUUGAUUAAUUUGAUGGAAGAUAGUCACAAUAUGUCCACUAGCUUUAGCUUCAACUAUUCUAAAUUUAUCAACUGCAUAUGCAAUAUACACAUCUCCAACUGACAUUCUAGCACGUAUCUCUGUUCUACGAGUCUCAAAGUAUGACACACAUCAAUAAAAAGUUAAUUAAACAAGUGCAGUGAUAGGUAACAUUCACGCUCCCUUAAGCACCUCAUUUAUGUAUUCAACAAUAUUUGUGGUCAUCCACCCAUACCAAUAUCUUAGAUCAUAUGCUUAAGUCCACUUUUUAGUGUCUAACUUUGAAAACUAGUCCACACUUUUUUCAUCUAAUCAUUUUAACUCUUCCAUGCAUCUCUCAUGCUUCCAUGGUUGAUGUUGAGAUCUAGCUUUAUACGCCAACUCUUUUAAGACCUUAUUUUUAAAUUUGUCAUUAAAAUUGCUUACUACAUGCCUAAGACAAUAUCGAUGUUGCGCAUGAAGGGGACUCCAUCCAACUGAUGGAUUUCUAAUAGCAACAUUUAUUCUUGCAUGCCAAUCUAAAAUUAGGCAUAUCCCUUCUCUUUGAGUGACAUGAUGCCUUAAUGUAAUAAAAAACCAGGAUCAAUUAUCUUGUGAUUCCUCCUCGACAAUUGCAAACGCAAGAGGCAAUAUAUGACCAUUUGUAUCAAUUGAAGUAGCAAUUAAAAGCUUCCCCAUGUAUUUUUCACAUAAGAACACACCUCAAUUUGUAUAAUUGAUCUGUAAUGCUUGAACCCUUCAACACUUGGCCCUAUUGUCCAAAAAACACACAUAAAACACACAUUCCUAGAAAUCUUUCCUAAAAUUAUUGUCUUCCAAAGAAUCUUUGUUCCAAGAUUAGUUAGCUUAAGGAUGUUCAUCCACUUCAGCAAUGCUUGAUAAGAUUCAUCCCAAGCACCAAAUACUCUAAGCAUUGUCUUUCUCUUAGCUUCCCAAAUUCUCCUAUAAUGGACAUCAUAUCCAAAUUUAUCUUUCAUUAUUUGAUGCAAUGUAGCAAUAGAGGUGGUGUGAUCCCUUUGAACUACAUUUUGAAGCUCUCUUACAAUCAAUGUAGAGUCUAGUUGAGAGUGGUCUUGUGAUAAUUUAGGAUAAGCACAAGAGUGAGGACUUGCAUACUUGGUUAUCUCAAACAUUCCAUGGCUUUUACAACAACAUGCACGAAGCCUCCAAUUACAUCCUUCCCGCUACUUCUUACAUCUUAAUGCCCACAACUGUGGUUUUGAUUCACAAAUAACCAAAUGUUGAUUCUAACAUAUUGAAUAACAUUUUACAGCAUGUUGCAAGUCUUCUUUACUCUCAAACCUCAAUCCUUUAAACAACUAAUUAGAUUCAUUCCAUGAUCCGAUACAUGAUGCAAGGCUCAACAAUCAUGUUAUUUAUCGCAUCCCAAUUUAAUUGUUUAAACAUUGGGGAAGGCAUAAUAUGUUGACCAUCAACUAAAAAAGCCUUAUUUGUUGGAGGUCCAUCAUCAUAAUUUUUCUCAUUAAUCUCAUCCUCGUCAUAAAAUUCCACAUCAUCAUCUUCAUUUGUAAAUGGGAUGUCAACAUAGUUGUUUGUUGCUAUCAUAACCGACUGAGUCACUACUGCCAAAUUCCCCGUGCCCCCCCUCCCCAAUUAUUUUAAAAGUCCAGAACAGUUUACUAAUUGAAAAUCUAAUCCUUUAUGGCCCAAAUCUAAGAUUUGUCUAAAUCAUCAAAUUUCAACCAACUUCAGGAAAUAUGAACUAUUCAAUUUUUUAUAUAUUUAUUUUUUUUGUUAUGAUUUUUUUUUUUUUUAAUAGAUUUGAAGAUUUGGACCAUAAACAAUUCAUUCAAACUUCUAGCUAAAUAAGCAAUUUCUACAAAAGCAUUCCUAAUUCUAAUAUAAACUUUACAAAUCUACAAGUAAAAAAUAAACAACAGAAAUUGUGCAUUACCACUUAUUCUCCUUCUUCUUCUCUUCUUCCCCUUAAAAUAAAAAGUGCAACUUUCUUAGCAACCAAACAAAGCCACAACAUCAAAUAGAGAAAAGAAAAAGAAAAAAAAAAACCAAGAAAUAAAUAAAUGAAACACAAAAAAAAAAAAAAAAACUCACUCUUCAAGGCCUUCCUUACGUCUCUAAAUAUCUAAUUCCCUUUCUCAUUCCCUUUUACAUUUAUUUAUUUUUAUAUUUGAAUCGUUAUUUUGCCUAGGGGACAAUCGAACGAUGGAUGCUUCUACAGUUGUCGGUAAAUGAUUGUUCGGACUCAUCUUUUUCUAGGGGACGAAGAAAAUCAAAUGAAGGAAAUGGGUAAAAGGGAAAGAAGAGGACGAUUAGGGCAUAAGAACAGCUUGGGGGAAAUGAGAAAAUGAAAGAAAUAGGCUUUCUUCAAUUGGAAGAAAUGAGAAAAGAAAAGAAAAGAAAGAAAAUUUGGUUUUUAAGAGUGUUAGUCCACAUCAGCAACAAUGGCAGUAGAUUUGAAAAUACUUUCCAAUCUACCAUAUUUUUAAAAAGUUGUACUUUUUUUAUAAAAAAAAUUGGAGUUUUGGGAUUAAAUGAGUUAUCACUUAACCCGCUCAUACGUGUUUUUGUAAUGUUUGAACAUAAUUUUGAACAUGAAUCGCACCUGUAUUAUAACUGGGAAAUUAUAACUAAGAAAGAGCAACACAACUUAUAUAGAGAUAUUUUACUCUUAGCAUUAGCUAUCUUCAGGUUUUUUUCACUUAAUUCUAAAUAGAACUUAAAACUAAAUAAUGCUUAAUAAUAUUUAGUAUUAAAUUAUUUGUUUUUGAAUACGGUAUUUUUAUUAAGUACUAAGAAAUUUAAAAAAAAAAUCAUUUUAGUAGCAAUGGUAGUUUGCUUUUAGCUUUUAAAAAAAAAUCAUAUAUUUUAAUUUUUUCUAUUCAAUUAAAAAUUUUAAAAACAAAUAAUAAGCUAAUAAAACAUUAAAUAAUUUAAAUAAUAAAUAAUAAAUCAACAAAAUAUAUACAUAUAUAUAUAUAUAAGUCAACAAAACAUAUAUAUAUAUCUAAAAUUUAAAAGUAAAUUACCUUCAAUAAAAAAUUAAAAAAACAAAUUUUAAUCUAUCAAUCUCAAAACACUGGCAGUAUAAUUGAAAUGGAAGCAUAUAAUAUUCUGAUGUUUUGAGAGAUAACCAUAUCACUGUCAGGAACACCAAUAGAGGAGAUAUAGCUGAAUGUGCAAUGUCCUCAAUAGAGGUCAAUCAAAGACAUUGCCCAAAUUUCUCCACAACAAUGCUUUGAUUUUCAUAUGGGAAACGGGAGAUUUUGAUACUUCACUUGCCAAAUCCAUUUCAACUUCCAUCUCUGGAAUGAAACCUUUAUCAUCUUCCAGCCUGUUUAUACACUCACAGAUGACAACACCGUCCAAAGAGAGAGAGAGAGAGAGACAAGUACAGAUCCUAAUUUCCCAAACUAACUAGUGAUCACAAUCAAGUGAUAGAUUUUCUACACAAGAAAAGGAAAUUCAUAGUCCUAAAAAGAAUUAAGGGCCAAGCACAAGAAUUUCAUCCUUCACAACCUGCCAAGCUCACUCCAAGACAAGAAGGUUUCUGGAAUUGGACUAUCGCAUUAAUAACAUGCCAUUGUGUGGCCACUUGAAACUCUCUCUAAAUUAUAAAUUCACCAGAAGGUUGAGAGGCAAAAUCUAUGUAGCAAAGGGUACAGUGAUAGCCCUCUAGACAAUCCACCUUAUCCUCUUUGCAUCACAGUUUAUGUUGUGAACAAAAGGAUUUCUGUAAUAGUCGAUCAGAAGCUCAAUAUACAUAGGAAGUCCAGCUUAAAUUUUCUUUCUUCCUUUUUCAAAAACAUGACAACAUUCAUAUAUUCCCUCAACAAAAAGUGCUAAAUAUCCUAAAUGCAAGCAUUGCACCUGGAUUUACAUGUACUACUGGAAAUGAAAACAUCAGCUCCCAAUCUUCAGCUUUUAGACAGGGACCUAAAAUAUAUUCCACUUCUGCAUCAAGGCCCCGCAGAUCAAAUAAGUACACCAUGCAGCACUCAAUGGAUAGCCAGAAACUGCAAAAAUAAGGGGGGAAAAUCGUCAUCAUCAUGUUUCAACUGUCUUAUAGUUGCUAGGCCAACAAUGGGCAUAAAAUACAAGGACCAAGUCCUUCAUUUCUAAGAAAAUAAGAUGACUAAGCAGCCACAGAAAAUCUGUCAUCUAAAAAUGAAUGAGAAGGAUGAUGAUGAACAAGGAAGCGGAUUAAUUAUGUGCUGGGUCAGGUAUGUAUUAAAAUGCAAGAAUAUAUUUGAUUCAGGAUUGACUUACUUGCUAUGAAAUCAUCUGUAUAAUCGUUACUAAUUUUCCCAUGGGCCAUUGCACCAACCUAAACAACACAAGGAUGAGAUAAGAUAGAAAACACAAAUUUUCAAUUUUAAGAUGAAUACAAAUUAAAAUGUGAGUUCUUUGGAGCAUACCACAAAAACAAGGUCCACAUCAUCGCUAACAGCAGCCACAUAGUCCCGCAUUGGAAUUGACUUUUCUGAACUAUAUGAGAAGCCUGAUAUACAAGAAAACAAUUAGUUUAUUUCUAGCAAAAGUUGAAACAUGGGAACAAUUAACACAAUAAAUGCUCACCUAUUUUUCGAGAGUUAACAGGUAAGUAUUGAGUAACUGGGUUCUUGAUAACGCGUAAAAGUUUCUCCCGCUUACCAACAGCAGUAAUGCUCAGUUUUUGUAACAGCUGCACUGCACUUACAAUUAAGGAGUGAUUAAACAAAUAACAGAGCAGAAAAGCCCAAUUAAAAAGCAAAUAAAAGCACAUUAUACCCAUAUGGCAUAAACGGGUUUGGGUGGGAACCGGUAAAACUUACACAUGAUCCCAGAGAACCGCUUAUAUGUCCUUGGAAUGCGAACAUGUGGCUUAACUUCAAAAAGCACACCUUUCUCGGUUCUUACAUACACAGCUCGUAGCCUCCCAGCCUUAUUUAGUGGGCUAUCUAAAAUAGUUAAGAGAGCCUGAACACAUCAAUAUUUUAGGAUCUUGUAUCAUUCAGAAACAAGCAAAUAUAAAACUUUAUGUACACGAAAGUACCAAAUUAAACAUUUUCCUCUCCUUUAUAGGCUGUUCUUUUCUGUAUUUUGUUUUUGUCUGAGCAUACUUAUCUUGUUGGUUGUGUGUCUUCUUUUUCAUAGGUAAAUUUUUGUCCCCAUUGGGAUUUGAACCUGAAACCUCCCACAAAACCCUUCCCAAUCCUUUACCACUUGAGCCAGGCCUCAAGGGCUUGACUGUUGUGUGUCUAGGGAGUGGAGCAUAACUAACUCCAUAAAGCACUGUUAAACUAGUGAUGUCUUCAAGUGACCAGCACAACAUGAGUAGUGCAUGCUUAAGUCAGCAAAUCACGUUUGCACUAAAUCAAUGUAGGACACAGAUAGCUAGUUUAUUUGAAAUUAAAAAAAAAAAAACAUGUUGAACAACAAUUUCAUGCCUGUAAAAUCAACUUACCUGAUGAAGAAUGUCAGGUCUGUAUUCAGCAGGGUUUUUGUUAUUUUUCCUCAGGAAAUUUGCAUGAUCCUCUGAGCUCAAUAGCUGGUAACUCUGUUUGCGUAGGAACAUAAAAUCAUAGUGCAUACAAAGAGAGAGAGAGAGAGGAAGAGAGUUAGAUGACGAAAGCAUACUAGAAUUUUUUCAGUAAACACACAAAACAGCAAAUGAAACCCUACUGCUUUUACAUUCAUCAAACACAAACCUGUUUUAGAAGAUGAAUUGAAAAGGGAGGGGGACAAUUUUUUAUGAACAAGUAGGCAAAAUGAUUUUUUUUUUUUUUUGGAUAAGUUAAGCAAAAUGAAUUAAUAAUACAGGAGUAGAAAUAACAAGAGAAGAAAUAGAACUUAUUUACCUUUCCAACUUUUGCAACUUCCAAACAAGCCCUCUCAAGAAUGAAGGUAACACCAGUCUUGUUGUUCAAGUUGGAUGGGACAAGUGGGAUACCAGGAAGUUCAAGUGUGACUUCUUCUGCCUUCUUCUCAUCCUGUGUGGCUGUUGCUGCUGUCUCCUCUUCUAGCAAUUGUUCUACUUCCUCUCUAUCAUAGUUCUCUUCCCUCUUCUUUCGCUUGUGCCCUUUUAUGGCAUAAGGCCGUACCAUUUCUUGGUUGAGUAGAAAUCAGCCAAGAUGUAAAAGAAAUUCAUUAAUGGCAAUCAAUUAAUAAAACCAAAUGCAAGUUUUUUUUUUUUUUUUUCCCAGGUGGAGAAAGAAAAUAAAAGAAACAAUGCAGUGAUUCCUUCUUGCAUGUAGAGAAAAAGAAAAGUGAGAAGAGAGGAAGUGAUUAUGGUAAAAAACCAAAAACAGAAAGUAUAUCCCAAUAGACACUAAUGUUUUCUUUUUUUCUUUUUUUCAUCUGGAACAAUGAUUCCAUUGCAUUGAAAUGGUAACUACAAAGAAGGAAGAGAAACCCAUCCAAGAAGCACACAAUCCUCCAUACAAAGUUUGAUAAAAAAUUGCAAAUAAGUGUAUACUAGUUAAGAAAAUCAAAUCCAGCUACAAUUCAAGAAGAUAUAAAUCUCCUACAAAGAAAACCAUAUAUCUAGCUCUACGUUUUUCUAGCACAUAUCCCGUAGAGAAGGAACAUCCUAACUAUGAAGAAAUAUCAAUAAUUUAGCACAACCAUUCAUCAAACCUUCAGGGUCCUCUUUCUUUCUUAGACCCCCAUGAUAUGAUCAUCCUCCUCCUGCCAGAAAAUUGGAGUGAUCCAAAGCUUUCGAUGGUAAUAAUCCUUCCAAAAGGGCUAAAAUUUCUCCCUCAAAGGCUAAACCUUGACCAGAAAGUUUGGAGAAUGCUCUUGCCACUUCGAAUCUCUAAGCAACUCUCCAAUCCCUAAUUGCCCUAGGUUGCUCAAAAAACACUCAUCAAAAUUUAGCUUGAGAAAUCUAUUGGAGGUCGUAGCUAUUCAAAAAGUGUCUCCUUGAUCAAUCUCUAGUUUUGCAAACUAGGUUCCAAUCUAGCAAAACAAAGCUCAAACAGAUACCUAAAAAAACUUCACUAAUAGAAGCCCAUAGGGAAGAAGAGAAAUAAAACAAGUCUCAAACUGCUUCUAGAAACCUCCACCUAUCCUCAAACAUUCUUGCAUUCCUUCCCUACCUAAUAGUUAAAAUCGAAAUGAGGCAAGCAAUGCACCAAAAUGUACUUUCCUCAAGUCCCCAAAACUUCUAAAGGCUAUAAUAAACAUCUCCUCUAUCCUUCUAGGUGGAAACUAAUCAAAUCCCUGUAAGUCAAAAUUUUCUACAACAUAAUGUAAAUGUUGCGGGGAAACUCCUCACUCCCCUUACACUUAACACACCAUUCUAACUAAGAACUUUGUGUGGUCCUCUCCAUUGUAGCAAGUCAUUAGUAUGCCCUUCUAAUUUCCCACAAGCCAUGCAAAGACUUUCACUUUUGGUAGUCGGGCUUUGUAUUUCUAAAUAAAAUUUGUAGAAAUAAAAAGAACCAAAUUAGUAGAAGCAGAGAUAGCAUUAAAGAGGGUGUUAAUUGAAAACAUUCCUCAAAAUGUCAAAGGCCAAACUCUCACGUCAGGAAAAGUGAGUUACAAAUAGACAUGAACCAAAACAAACAUUACAGGAGCUAGUUCCUUAAUUUCUUGCUCUAAGAGGUUAUGAUGAAAGUUGAACUUUCGAGAUAUAGACAAGGAGGAAACUAGCAUUGAGACAAUAAUUUCUUAACCUCACUACUAUUCUUUAGAUGUUUGCGAACUGCACUCUAAGAGAUUCAUCACUCAACUAAAGAUCUUUCUAAAAGCAAAUUUUUAUACCAUCACCCAUAUAAUAACGAGUGAUACGAAAAAAAUCUAAGAAAGUUUAUGCUAAGGGGUGGUAAUGGGUUGUGUCAUGUUAGGUUUAUAUCAUGUUGAGAUAAGAAAUAUUGAAAAUUUACUUUGAGUAAAACAUGGCCCACUUAAUAAUCGUGUCCAAAUGACUUGAUAUAAACACAACCCAUUUAUUACACAGAUAAUGCAAAAGGAAACAAUAGAUCACAUUCUCAUCCAUUAUGUUGCAGUAAGGGCACUAUGGCAACUUAUGCCUUCAUUGUUCAAAGUCGCUUGGGUACUUUAUUUUACAAUGAGGAACACUCUUUUAGGUUGGCAUGGUUCCACUGAGGGAAGAACUUGCAAGAAAGUGUGAAGAGCAACUCCCCCUUUGCAUUUUUUAAACGAUUUGGAAGGAAAGGAACCAAAGAAUGUUAGAAAACAAGGAGCAACCAGUUCAAGAGUUGAAACACUCAUUUCUUAACAAUCUCGUAUCCUAGGUUAGCAUAUACAUUGAAAAAGGCUCAAUGUCUCUUAUUGAUUUUGUAGAUUGAGCGGGUGGGUCUUGGCUAAGGGAGGGAGCGGUUGUUUGUGUCCUCUCUCCUUAUGGCAAGGCCUUUUGGUUCCCUUUCUAUUCCUCUUGUAUACUUUCGUAUAUAAUAUUUUUUAUAUUUAUAAUAUUUAUAUAUUUACUUAUUAAGAAAAAAAAGAAAACAAAUAACACAAAAGGACCAAUUUCACUUGUUUAACAAAUGAGUUGUGUUGAUUCUAUAUGAAUUGACACAAAUAAUCUGUUAACACAAUUUUAACCUGUUUUAUUAUUCUAACCCAGUAAAUUCGCUAACACGAUUAUAACAUAUAUAACCUCUUUUUUGAUGGGUAAAUAAAUUGAGUAUGCUAUAAAUAGAGCACUAAAAAAACUGCACCAAAGUACACAAGAUAUAUACAAUAGUCGUCAAAAGGCACGAGCAAAAAGAAUACUCCCUCCUUUGAUAAGAACUUAACCAAUCAACAAAGUCAAUCAAAAGCAUUGGACUCUCAUCUACAUACAAUUUAAUCCACAAUGAAAGAUUACAAAGAAAAGUGCUUUUUAGUCUUUGAUUAGAAAACUCCUCAUGUUUCAAUUUAUGCCCUUUUCUUUUUCUAUUUUUACCAAUUAAAGAGUUGUAUCAUCCUAAGAGGAUCUCUCUAAUUGAGGAAGAUAACACCCAACACACACCAAAAAGACAAAACAUCAACUGCCAUAAAAUCAUCAUCUUGACACAAUGAAAAGGAUGCGAUCAAUACAUUCUUCAUCAAUAUGACAAAGGAAACAUUUGUUUGCCAAUGACCACCCUAUCCUUUGAAAUUGAUCCAAAGUCAAUACUUUUCCCUAUGUUGCCUCCUAAGCAUCGUCUAAGAUGGAAUCAAGGAAUUCCAAAUAAUGACCACUAGGAAAGGAACUAAACUUCCCAACUACAAGAUAAAGUAAAGGGAGUUGAUGAAAAAAGCUCUGCUCUUUAACUCCAACCAAAUCACCCUAUCUUCUCCUUCCCUAUUAACCGUCUUCCCUUGCAACCUUGAAAAGGAUCAGUCCACAUUUUCGAUCUCCUAAUCAUUCAAAUGUCUAGGGAAUCAAGGAUCCUAGAAACUCCCUUCAUUUGACCGAUCCCAUAAAUCUGUCACUCACGCCUCUUUUAAUGCAACUAUGACAAAUAAAGAAAGGAAAGAUACACUCAAAGGCUCAUCUCUAGACCACUUAUCUUCCCAAAAAAUUUACCAUGCUCCCAUUGAAAAUGACACUCUAUUGCUAAAAAGCAUCCAAUCCUUCCUAAUAACUUUCCAUAACCCAAUCCCAUACUCGGCUCUCACUUCACAAGAUUGCCACCCCCUUUCACCUUGCUCAUUUUCCACUUAUGAUCUACUUCAGUAAAGCUUCUCCUUCUGAUUCAAAACAUCAACUCCAUUUGCAUAGAAGGGCCUAUUAAGCACAAGACACCUAAUGUUCAAGCCCCCCUUCCUCUUAUCUAAACAAACAAUCGUCCACUUUACUAAAUGUGAUUUUCUCUCUAAAGCCUUGCCUCCCCAAAGAAAAUCCCUUUGAAUAUGCUCCAACCUCAAUUUGACUAUCCUUGGCAUGCAAAGCAAAGUCCUAAAAUAAGGAGGCAAGCUAAGAUAAUACAUCAUUUUAGGAAACUUAAACGAAAUAGAUAUAAAACUUCAUCCCAAAAAUCUUUUCUAUGUGAAAUAUCAUAGAAGCCAUAAAUCGAAGAUAGCAAAAAAAAAAAAAAAAAAAAAAACCCAUCACUAACAAAAGAAAGUUUGAUUGCAAUUGUAAAAGAACCUAUCACCACUUCACUACAAGAAAAAAGAUCUUAGAAUACCAAAUUAUUACUAUUCCACAUGAUGGCCCAGAAGCUGGUGGUUCUACGCACUCUCUAUUCCUAGCCAAUCAAAUGCUUCGCACCAAGUUCCUAUCACACUUUUCCUUUCCUUUUUUUUUUUUUCUGUUCCUUUUUGUCAGUUGAGAAUAACAACGUACUUCGCAUAAAAGAUCUUUGAUCACCCUUCUUUUCUUUUUAGACCUCAAGCCUCGUUCAUUCCAACUAAUAAUCUUCAUUAACAAUGCAAUAGCUUAUUAAAAAAAAAAGGAGGCUUUAUGUAGGAGGAGGAUUUUUUUCACCUUUUGCAACUAUAGUGUUUGAGUGGUGGUAGUAGCUCACUACAGCUAUAGUUUGCAUUUUAAAAAACCUCAAAUAAAGCAUUGUAUGGUUACUUUAAAAAGAAACCAUACUGUUUGCAUAU